GACAACAACUCGAGUGGGUUGGGUUGAGUUCAUGGCUAAUCCCACAUCAACCUAUUUCAAUGGGAGAUUGAUUCAACACAUUUGAAUAUAGUAACAUUGGGAAACAUCUUCAUUGUUUCAGUGCUUCAACAAAGGUUUGGAAAUUCUUGUAAGAAGAUCCCCCUUCAAUCACACUUUUUCUAGCCAUUUCCUUCAACUUCUCUGCAUUUGCUUUUAUACCAUCAUCAGAAACCAACAUUUCGAUCUUCUUCUUAAUCUCAUGCCUUGAUAUGAAUCCAUUUUCAUCUGGGUUCAACCCCAAGCCCACCUUCCAUUUGUCGCAUAUGUAACUCUGGUUAUGGAAUUGAUCUGCAAAGUAAGGCCAGCAUAGGAAGGGGACUCCUAUGCCUAUGCCGUCCAUGGUUGAGUUCCAUCCACAAUGGGAUAAGAAACAUGCAACAGAAGGGUGAGCUAACACCUUUUCUUGGGGUGCCCAUGAAACAAUCUUUCCAUGCUCAGCUACUCUCUCUAUGAAACCAUCUGGGUAUUCAGCAGCUGAUCCAUUGGUGAAGUCUGAUCGGACAACCCAUAAAAAUGGCCGGCCUACAAGUUCAAUACCCAGUGCUAGUUCAUUGAAUUGGUUCUGGCUUAAGAUUGCUAGGCUUCCAAAGGCAACAUAAAUGACUGAGCCAGCAGGUUGCUUAUCGAGCCAGCCUAUGCAAGUUGAAUCCUCAGGCCAAAAGUUUCCAGUAUAAUGACCCAGAUGAUUACUUGCAAGUAACGGGCCUAUUGGUAAUAUGUUGGGUAUCAAGUCACAAGCAGAUGAGUCAAGUUCGUAAACAGAGUUGCAAAGAAGCCAAUUGGAAAGAUUCUUAGCUGGGAUGCAUUGUAGAGCAAGUCGGAAAAGGAUCUCUUGUACGGUUAGAUCACUUGGGCAGCCCCAGGGCAAUCUGUUGCUGCUAAAGGCUGGGAUAUCCUUUGCCAGGCAGAUCAACUCCUCGUUCAAAAGAGAUCCUGCAAAGUUGUUUCAAUUAUUUCCAUUAAAACCAAGAAAAUACUUAGCUACUUCCCCUGAUUUUUAUUUAAUUUUCAGGGGCUAUUAGCUUUAGUCUCUAACUUGUUUUCAAUUACUAGAACCUUCAUGUUUCAACAAAUUUAAUUUUAGAAAUAUGAUAUGUGCAAGUUGAAGUGUUAAUACCAUCAAUACCAUUUACAUGUCCGGCCUCAAUAAGCCUUGGAAUGUCAAAUACCAAAGCCAAGGUUCCUGGUCCACAGGGGCAAAACGCAACGCUCUCGAUCCCCAUCUUCUCGGCAACCUCUAGCGCCCACCCAACUGUUGUAUCAGCAAUAACACAAGUGAUCUUCUCAUCAUCAUUCGAGUUGUUAACCUUCUCAAUCAACUCCUUCAAAUGACCCGGCAUGACUCUUAAAAUACUGUCUGUCGACUUGAGUGGAUCUUUUCGAUCCUCCCCUGGACCCAGUCCAUCUGGGAUCGAGGCUAGCCCAAUCCGACUCCGAGCCUCAUCCUCAUCUGGCAGUGCAGCCACCAGUUUUUCAUGUAUGAAGUCUGAGUUAACAAAGGUGACCUUGAUCCCAUGAUCAGAAAUCUGGUACGCAAACUUCAUAAGGGGAGUAACAUGUCCUUGUGCUGGGAAUGGAAUAAUCAGCACAUGAGGUCGCCUGCCCAUGGUUGCUGCCAACAUGUCCACACACUUCUGCUUCGUCUGAUCCGAAGUUUCAGGAUUAAUACCGAUUCUCUUUAUUAGCCUGAGCCCUCUAUUGUGUGAAUCGUAUACCUAUUUGCAAAAAUUUUAGCUGCAGCCCAUCUCUUACACAUGAACUUCAUACAUUAUCUGAAAGAUAUGGUGUUGUGGCUCAAAUUCUUUGGCACUUGGCUUUUAUCUCCUAUCUAUUCUGUCUUUAUCAAGUGUCUUGCGUGUCUCUCCCGUUACUUUGGUGUAAUUUUAAAGCUAUAUUGCACUGAUAAACUUUUGGUUUCUACAUUACACACUCCAUAUAUGCAUUAAACUUUUUGUUAGUGCAGUCAUUGGAUUGUAGCCAUUUUUUCUACUUGGUUUUUCCACCAAGUUAUUGAUACCCUAUGGAUUUAUUCUCAAGUGCUUCAAGGUAUAUUAUCAGAAGUUACCAUUGGUUGUUUGCUUUGUCUUUUAUCUAGCUAGAACCUCAUAUGUAGCUAGCCUCUUUUUGUUGUUGCAUGAUUGGUUUGAGCUCUUCCUUCUUAUCCCAUGUGUUUGUUGACCAAGCUUGUAUUGAUGUUGAACCUGAUUGAUGCUAGUAGCAAGGGAAAUGAAAAUUUGGACAAUGGCUAGAUUUCACCUUAAUAAUAUCACUCUCAAAUGCUUCUACAUAAUUCCCAAAUACUUUAGCAUAUAUUCUAGCUAGGGAAGUGAUCUCUAGUUUUUUUCUGUCCUUUAUGGAGGGUCUUAAGCAGCCAGCCUCGUUUUCUAGUUGUAUGGCUUUUAGUUCUUGGUUCUUUUCCCAUAUAUUGGUCUUUUUCUCUAUCUUAUAUGCCUUCAAAUGAUCCCAUUUUCCUCUGGGUUCAGCCCUAAACCCACCUUUGUACAUCACAGAUACGGAAGUGGUCGCCAAGGUAAGGACAAACCUUCACCAUUCAGUUCCAAGCAGAGUGGAUUAAGAAACCAGCAAGGACAAACCCUUGGCAUUGAUUCACUCAGCCGGUGGCAGAGCCAAGAAUUUUUCUCAGAACAAGCAUUACAAUAACCCUGGAUGAAUUUUAGAAAUUGCUGAAAAUGAGUAACUUUAGACUUUAGUCAUGAAUAAAUAUAACAUAUCAAAUUAAAAAUUAAAAUUAGAUUUUAUUAACUUACUAGUUAAAAAUUGAAAUUUAAAAAGAAAAUUUUCAAAAAGUUAAAAAAUGGUAAGAAAAUAAGAAAUCUUACUAGUUAUUUCUCAAUAAUUUUAAUAAUCUCUUCCUAGUAAAAAGGUUCUUUAAAAAAUUUAUUUUUUUCCCAAACAGCUACAUAUAAAUGAGUUGGAAGUAAUAAAAUAUUUUAUUAAUAUUUUCCUAUGAUAUAGUAAGAUGUUAAAAUUCCAAGUAAAAUAUAAAUAGUUAGUUAGAGUUUGAUAUUUAUUAUUAUGUAUUAAGGUACCCUAUUCUAACAAAAUUCUAGAGCACCCAAGAGGUAUUGUUUAGAAGAUUUACUAGUAAUAAUUGGAUUUCUGAUUUCAAUCUUCAUAAAGUAAUAGCAAGAACCAAAACUAAUAAAAAGAACUUGAUUAUAAGGUUUUGGUUAACAAUUUUUUUUUCCAAAUAUUAUGAGGUCUAUGCUACAUAUUUUUUGAGAUGACAUUUAAAACCAUUCAAGUACAAUUGAAUUUGUUUGGGUGAAUAAUAACAUUAAAGGAUGUACUUCGAGUUUAUUGUAUGAUGAAACCCUUUUGAGCAGAAAAAAAAAAAAACCAAUUUUGCAUAUGAGUGUAUGCUUGAGACUAUUUCUGUAUAUAUUUGUCAUUUUUUAUUUGUGUUAUUGGUUGAGCUCGCCAGGGUUUUCAAAGUAUAAAUACACCUUAUUUUGUCAAAUAUUUUAAAUACUUGUUUCAUGUAAACUUAUGUAUUUGCUCUUUGGUAUUUAAUGAAUUUGCUUUGUUAGUGUCAAAUUGGGUUUGUGUUUUAUAUUUGUUGAGUUUUUAGUAGAAUGUAAGAGUGAUAUAUUUAUAGAGCUUAAAGUAAACUCUAUGGGUGAUUUUCUGUGUAAUACAUAUCUUUUGUGCGGUUGGAAUUCAUGCAUGUUAAUAUCUAAAUAUCUCAUAUUAAUUCAAGAAAUAUUUUUGUGAAAAAAUUGAACUUUAAGACAUAAAAUCAUUAUUACCUAUGCACCCUCCAUAAAUCUCAAGAAUCAAGAUUCAUACUUUCAAUUGGUAUAGAAGCAUGUUGAAUUUAAAAAAUUAAAAUCUUUUAUUCCUACACAAUCUUGAUUCAUGGAACCACAGUGACCAGAUCAUCAAUGAAAUUUUUAUCAUUGCUUUAUUUGACAAUUUCUGUGGCUAGGAAUACAACUUGAGUAGGUUGGGUUGGGUUGAUGACGAUUUAACAUUUAACACAUUUGGAUAUGGUAGCAUUGGAAAAUAUCUUCAUUGUUUCAGUGCUUCAACAAAGGUUUGGAAAUUCUUGUAAGAAGAUCCACCUUCAAUCACACUUUUUCUAGCCAUUUCCUUCAACUUCUCUGCAUUUGCUUUUAUACCAUCAUCAGAAACCAACUUUUCAAUCUUCUUCUUAAUCUCAUGCCUUGAUAUGAAUCCAUUUUCAUCUGGGUUCAAUUCCAAGCCCACCUUCCAUUUGUCGCAUAUGUAACUCUGGUUAUGGAAUUGAUCUGCAAAGUAGGGCCAGCAUAGGAAGGGGACUCCCAUGCCUAUGCCGUCCAUGGUUGAGUUCCAUCCACAAUGGGAUAAGAAACAGGCAACAGAAGGGUGAGCUAACACCUCUUUUUUUCAUUUUUAAAUCCAAGAUAGAUGCAUUUUGCACGGAAAUGAUGUUGUUUCGCUUGGGUAAAAAUCUCCCUUUUCAAGCCCUAACCCCUCUCCCCUUUGCCCCCAUGCCCAACCGUUCCUUGCCCUCUCCAGGAGCCUUCCUCAGCCCCCCACCUUCGGCACCUCUAGCCAGCAGGCUUGCGCCGACACAGACGCCAAUGGAAGACAGUGACGCCGAUGGACGAAUGCGACGUCGACGAUUUACUAUUUAAAUAUUUAUCAUUUGAUUUAUCUAAUUAUUUUAUUUGAUAUUUGUAUCAUUUUUAAUUUCUAAUUUUUUUAAAUUUUGAUUUUUAAAUAUGGGAUUUUAUAUUUAUGAUUUUAAUUUUUAAAUUUAUGAAUUUAAAUUUCUUAAUUUCGAUUUAAAUCAUUUGAAAAUAAAUUUUUGGUUUAAAAAUAAGUUUUUGGUUUAAAAAUAAUUUAAAUUUUUUUAAUUUUAAAAUAAAUAUAUGAUUUUCAAAUAAAUUCUGAUUUUAUAAAUUUGUGAUUUUAUAUUUAUGAAUUUAAAUUUCUGAAUUUGAUUUGAAUCAUCUUAUUCAUUUAAGAAUAAAUUUUUUAUUUUAAAAUAAGUUUUUGAUUUAAAAAUAAAUUUUAAAUUUUAUGAUCUUAAAAUAAAUAUCUAAUUUUCAAAUAUAUUUUCUAUUAUCAAACAUAUUUUUGACUUUUAAAUAAAUAUAUGAUUUUAUAAAAAAAUUAUGAUUUUUUAAAAUUAUAAUGUUUUGAAUUUAUGUUUUCAAUUAUCAAUUGAAUUUAUGAUAUUAUUAUUAUUUUUUAUCAUUUUUUUAUUUUAAUAAUAUAUGUACACUAUAUAUUAUAUAUUUAUGAUGUCACCUAUUCAAUCGCGGUUCAACACCAUUUCAAUUCAUGAUGCAUGAACCAAUAACUUUUCUAAUUUAAAGACUGAUCAAAAUAUUGAUUAAUAUUAUAUAAAUUGAAUUUAUAACAUUUUUAUAAAUUAAAAUAUAAAAAUUAUUUUUAAAAAUAACUUGCCAAACGCCCCUAUUUUUAUAAAAUACUAAAAAUUUAUUUUUUGCUCUUUUAACUUAAUAACAGUUUUUAAAGACAAACAUUACAAAACAUGGCUAAACGGCCCUUAGCUCCUAGGUUUCAGCAAAAGAUUCAAAACAACUCCAUCUUGUGGCCUCCGUCAACAUGUUUUGUUGCCCAAUUUUUGUGUAAGCUCUAAAUAAUGCUGCUUUCGAUUUUCAAUUGCUCUGUUCGUGCACUUUUUUUUAUAUGUUGCCAUGUAGACAACAGUAUAGUUCUUGAUCCCCCAAUCGUACAUAAUUCUUUGCUCCGCUACUAAUGCAUUACAUCAAAAUCUGUCUUUAAUUAACUCUACCCAUGAUUUUUGUUCACUAAGAUCACAUACCAACCCCUGCACUUGCAUACACAGCAUGAAUGCACUCGCUUUUAUUGAGAGAAUGGUUUCACACAUUUGAAUGUGGCAACAUUGGGAAGCAUCUUCAGUGUUUCAUUGCUUCAAUAAAGGUUUUGAAAUUCUUGUAAGAAGAUCCGCCUUCGCUUACACUCUUUCUAGUCAUUUCCUUCAACUUCUCUGCAUUUGCUUUUAUGCCAUCAUCAGAGACCAACUUUUCAAUCUUCAUCUUAAUCUCAUGCCUCGAUAUGAGUCCAUUUUCAUCUGGGUUCAAUCCCAAGCCCACCUUCCAUUUGUCGCAUAUGUAAUUCUGGUCAAGGAAUUGAUCUACAACGUAGGGCCAGCACAGGAAGGGGACUCCCAUGCUUAUGCUGUCCAUGGUUGAGUUCCAACCACAAUGGGAAAAGAAGCAUGCAACAGAAGGGUGAGCUAAAACCUCUUCUUGGGGUGCCCACGAGACAAUCUUUCCAUGGUCAGCUACUCUCUCAAUGAAACCAUCAGGGUAUUCAGCAGCUGAUCCAUCGGUGAAGUCUGAUCGGACAACCCAUAAAAAUGGUCGGCCUACAAGUUCAAUACCAAGUGCUAAUUCAUUGAAUUGGUGCUGGGUUAAGUUUCCGGUGCUGCCAAAAGCAACAUAAAUGACUGAGCCAGCAGGUUGUUUAUCGAGCCAGCCUAUGCAAGUUGAAUCCUCAGGCCAAAAGUUUGCAGCAUAAUGACCCGGAUCACUACUUGCAGGUAACGGGCCAAUUGGUAAUAAGUUAGGAAUCAAGUCACAAGCAGAUGAGUCAAGUUCGUAAACACAGUUGCAAGGAAGCCUCUUGGAAGAAUCCAUAAAUUGAAUAGAUGUGAGAUAAAUUCGGAAAACCCACUCUUGUACCUUCAGAUCAAUUGGCCACUUCCAGGGCAAGCCGUUGCAGCUCAAGACUGGAAUACCCUUCGACACGCAGAUCAACUCAUCUUUCAGAGGAGUUCCUGCAGAGAUAUUUGAAUCAUUUCUAUCAAAACCAAGAAAUUUCUUAGACAACAAGUUAAUUUUAGAAAUAUGAUAUAAAUUAACAAGUUGAAGCCUUAAUACCAUCAGUACUAUUUACGAUUCCACUCAAUUAACUUUGGAAUAUGAAGUGCCAAAGCCCAGAUUCCUGCUCCCAUAGGACAAAAAAGGACCCCUUCGAUUCCCAUCUUCUCUGCCACCUCCAUUGGCCACCGCUCAAGUGUUAUGUCAGCAAUAACACAAGUGAUCUGCUCAUCAUCAUUCGAGCGGUUGACUUUCUCAAUUAAAUCCUUCAAAUGACCCGGCAUGACUCUUGAACUACUUUCUGUUAUCUUGAGCAAGUUUUUCCGAUCGUCCCCUGGAUCCAGACCAUCUGGGAUAGAGACUAGCCCUAUCCCACUCUGAGCCUCAGCCUCAUGUGGGAGUGCAGCCAGCAGUUUAGCAUGUAUGAAGUCAGAGUUAACAAAGGUGACCUUGAUCCCGUGAUCAGAAAUCCGGUGUGCAAGCCUCAUAAGAGGAGCAACAUAUCCUUGCGCUGGGAGUGGUAUAAUCAGCACAUGAGGUCGCCUGCCCAUGGUCCUUGCUAACUUGCCAACACUUCCACCCUUCUCUUUGCUCUGAUCCCAAGCUUCACUAAUAUUGAUACUAUUUUAUUUGCCUAAGCCCUCCUUGGAACUGCAUUUAUGAAUUUUAUACCUAUUGUCCUCCUAAUUGAGGUGCAAAACUUUUUUCCCUUUCAAAAAACAAAGGGAAUAUGAAGUCCUUGCUAGCUUUUUUAACAAUGAAAACUAGUGGAAGUUCACCGACACUGUAGGGACCCCUCCCCCUGAUGACACGUGGCACACAUUUCUAUCCGGAUUAGCCCCAUCCGGAUUUUCCCAAGAGGACACAUGGCACGCUUCUCCUAUCCGGACUCCCUCAGGAGAGGCACACGACACUCGUAAACAUCACAUCCGGACGACCGACAUAGCCUAUCCGGAUAUGUUUGUCCGGAUCAUUGACUAAAGUAAGUAAGUCUUACUACGUCAUUCCGACAGCUUGCCACGACCCACGUUUCGCCAUCUGCAGAGUGAAAAGACAGGAAUGAUGGCAAGUCACUUCCCACGAUCUCUGACAGCUGCGGCGCCUCCCACGAUUUCUGUCAGCCGCCUGUAGGGUGAUGAUGGCCUUGCCACCACCUAGAGGCAUCAUGACAAGCCAAAAUAUCUCCCUAUCAUUAAAGAGGGAGACAGAGCUUCUGAUACUAUAUAUAUGGACCUUCACACAAGGAGGAAGGUAAGCUUGCGAUACCUAGUAAAAAGCCAACUAAUUAUUCUCUCUAACCAUGGUUGACAAAACCAUCGGAGGGUGUGUCCGAACACCCUGUCCGGACGCCUUUUGCAGGAACGACUGAACCAGGACUCUAUAUUGGUUGAGAUCGUGCGUCCAUUCAUUUGGCAACUACGUGGAUCACCAGGGACGCGAGGCCUCAACAUUGGCGCCGUCUGUGGGAAUUUAUUGAUUCAGUCACCGACAAAUAUGACCACACCUUCUAGAAGCCGCUCGUCUAGUAGGGGAGAGGAAGAUAACUCUGAAUGGCGCCAAGCCAUUAAGAGAAGACAGUUAGCGAGCGAACGACAACUACAAGCUCUCCUCCAGGAGACAGAAAGACUAAGAGAAGAGAACGCUGUGUUGCGUAUAUAGGCUUCAUCGACGGGGCCUCCCCGUCGUCAGCGUUCAAGAGGCCAGGUAGCAAACUCAAGGCCAGACCCAGAGUCAAUAUACCCUGGGACAGCGGGAGCCAUCCCAGAAACAGGCAAUGUUAGACCACAUGAGCCACACACGCCCCUGCACCGAGCUCCCCAUGAGGAAAGCUUAGACUCUACUCAUUUUUCAGCAAAAAGACAACGCGAUAGAAGAUCCCAGUUGUCAAACUCAAUGCGCGCAAGACUAGGCCCACAAGAGCCUGGAAGGCCAAGGCCGCCAGUAGCCACAACCUGGGCAGCACACCCUGACCCUAUGGUCACCCCCAUGGUGCAGAACGUUCUCCCGCACCAUGACCCUAUGGUCACCCCUAUGGUGCAGAACGUUCACUCGCACCUAGCGGUACGACAAGCUGGGAGAAACCUCCCAAACGAGCCACCCAUUGGCUCCAUCAGCAAAAGGUUGGACGACAUGCUCUCCACGCCUUUCUGCUCUCAUAUCAUUCAUUACGAGCCCCCAAGGGGAUUCCUUGUGCCAAAAUUCUCCACAUACGAUGGCUCCAGCGACCCCUUCGAUCAUAUCAUGCAUUAUCGACAGCUCAUGACUCUCGAUAUAGGCAACGACGCGCUGCUAUGCAAAGUAUUCCCCGCCAGCCUACAAGGGUAGGCCCUCUCAUGGUUUCACCGCCUACCUCCCAGCUCUGUUGAUAAUUUCAGAGACCUAUUGGAAGCCUUCGUGGGACAAUACUUAUGCUCCGCUCGACAUAAGCAGAACAUCAACACUCUGCAAAACAUAAAAAUGCAGGAUAACGAAUCCUUAAGGGAGUUCGUGAAGCGGUUUGGUCAGGCCGUACUACAGGUAGAGGCUUACAGCAUGAAUGCUGUCCUGCAGAUCUUCAAGCAAAGUAUCUGUCCAGGCACCCCAUUUUUUGAAUCACUCGCUAAAAAGCCUCCUACGACGAUGGACGACUUGUUUCGGCGUGCGAGCAAAUACUCAAUGCUCGAAGAUGACGUGCGAGCAGCCACCCAACAAGUCUUGGUUGUCGGAUAGGCAUCCAGAAGUGGCACGAAAAGAAGUGCCAAACUUCCGGACCGGCCAAGGCCGUCCGAUCGAAGGCAGGAAGGGCCAAGUCGCCCGGAAAGGCCGUCCCUCACACCCCUUUCCAUAUCCUAUGAGAAGCUUCUCCCUAUGAUCCAAGACAUGUCCGACUUCAGGUGGCCUAGAUCCAUCGGAACGGACCCAUCCAAAAGGGAUCAUAGUAAAAAAUGUGCCUUCCAUAAGGAGCAUGGUCACACAACGGAGACAUGCAGGUGCCUCCAUUAUUUGGUCGAAAGGCUCAUAAGGGCGGGACAUUUAAAGCAAUACCUCCGCUCAGAUACCGGAGAUAGAGAUGCUUCCCGAAAUCACAACUCUGGAGCCCCUAGGGCCCUAGCCGCCCCCAAAGCCGUUAUAAACUAUAUUAACGGAGGCCCAUCUGACGAGGAGUACGACUCCAAACGAAAGAGACAAAAGUUGUUGCGGGCAGCAUCAGUGCGCGAGCGUGUCAACUCCAUCCGGCCUGGGAUAACUGGGGGGGCCCUCGCCCCAUAGAUGGGACAAUCAUUUUCCCACCAGUAGACCCCACCUGGAUAUUGCAGCCGCAACGCAACGCCCUCAUCCUGUCCCUAAAGAUAGGAGACUUCGACGUGAGACGCAUCCUGGUUGACCCAGGCAGCUCGGCCGAUCUUGUGCAAGCAUCGGUCAUUAGCCACAUGGGGCACAGUCUCACAGGCCUCGAAAACCCUGGGCGAAUCCUGUCCGGAUUCAACAGGGCGUCAACUACUUCCUUGGGAGACAUUGUAUUGCCGGUCCAAGCUGGCCCAGUCACUCUCAACGUACAAUUUUCGGUGGUACAAGAUUUAUCACCCUUCAAUGUCAUCUUGGGGCGCACAUGGCUGCACUACAUGAAAGCCAUCCCCUCUACAUAUCAUCAAAUGGUAAGUUUCCUUACCAAGGAUGGGCAAAUUGACCUAUACGGCAGCUAGUUAGCCGCUCGCCAAUGCUACCAGAUAGCACGAGAAGCAGGGACCAGCCAGGAGGAUGCAUCCCUCCCUGAGUCCAGCCAUGCACGUGACCAAUAGCAAUUAUUGAGUUCGGCGGUCAAAGAUCCCCCGACAGCGGAUCCCUUGCAAACGAUCCAAAUUUCAGAAGAAGGUACUCACCUUACGAAUAUCAGUUCCCUUCUAACACCAGAAGAGACCCGGAACAUGCAGAACGCCCUUAGACAAAACCAUGACGUCUUCGCAUGGGCACAUUCUGAUAUGAAGGGAAUUCAUAUCUCCAUUACCUCUCAUAGGCUUAACGUCUUGCCAAUAGCCAGACCUAUCCGGCAGAGGGUUAGACGUUUUCACCCAGACAUACAAAAAAUUAUCCGGAAUGAGAUUGACAAGUUGCUAGAAGCCGGAUUCAUCAGGGAAGUGCAUUACCCGGACUGGUUGGCAAAUGUAGUGGUGGUACCAAAAAAAAAAGGCAAAUGACGGGUAUGCGUCGACUACACCAACCUCAAUAAUGCAUGCCCAAAAGACAGUUUCCCUUUGUCACGGAUAGAUCAAAUUGUGGACUCCACUGCUGGGCAAGGGAUGCUCUCCUUCUUGGACGCCUUCUCCGGAUACCACCAAAUCCCCAUGUCCCCGGCUGACGAAGAAAAGACAGCCUUCAUAGCACCACAUGGUCUCUAUUGCUACAAAGUCAUGCCAUUCGGACUCAAAAACGCUGGCGCCACUUAUCAGAGACUGAUGACGAAGAUCUUCAAACCUCUGGUCGGCCGCACAGUAGAGGUAUAUAUUGACGAUAUCGUGGUUAAAAGCAAAACCCGAGAGGAACAUGUCCUCCACUUGCAAGAAGUCUUCCACCUCUUAAGGAAGUAUGACAUGAAGUUGAAUCAUUCUAAAUGCGCCUUUGGCGUAAGUGCUGGCAAAUUCCUGGGAUUUAUGGUCAGCCAAAGGGGGAUAGAGGUCAGCCCAGACCAAGUCAAGGCAGUCAUGGAAACACCACCCCCCAGGAGCAAAAAGGAAUUACAGCGCCUCACAGGCAAGCUUGUCGCGCUAGGGCGUUUUAUAGCCCGCUUCACUGAUGAACUGCGACCCUUCUUCUUAACAAUACGAAAAGUAGGAGCAAACGGAUGGAUAGACAGCUGUCAAAGCGCUUUUGAAAAAAAUUAAACAUUGCCUCAUGCAACCGCCCAUCCUGAGCAGUCCCCUCCCUGAAGAAAAACUGUAUAUGUAUCUGGCUGUAUCGGAGUGGGCAAUUAGCACUGUUCUAUUCCACUGCCCCUCACCCAAGGAGCAGAAACCUAUCUACUACAUUAGUAGAGCAUUGGCGUACGUAGAAACCAAGUAUUCAAAGAUGGAGCUAACGGCCUUAGCUCUUUGAAGUGCCGCCCAGAAGCUCCGCCCCUACUUCCAAGCCCACCCGGUGGUCGUGCUAACUGACCAGCCCCUUCGCAACAUUCUACACAAGCCAGACUUAACCGGAAGAAUGCUUCAAUGGGCCAUAGAGUUAAGCGAAUAUGGAAUCGAGUUCCAACCCAGGCUGUCCAUGAAAGGCCAAGUUAUGGCUGACUUCGUGCUGGAAUACUCCCGAAGGCCUAUCCAGCGCAAGGAACCAAGUGAAAAAGAGUGGUGGACUUUGCGGGUCGAUGGAGCCUCACGAUCAUCAGGAUCCGGAGUAGGACUCCUACUGCAAUCACCAACAGGAGAACAUCUGGAGCAAGCCAUCAGGCCGGGGUUCUCCGCCUCUAGCAAUGAAGCGGAAUAUGAGGCCAUCCUAUCCGGAUUGGACCUCGCACUGGCUCUAUCCGUCUCCAAGCUCCGGGUUUAUAGUGACUCCCAACUCGUGGUAAGGCACGUUCAGAAGGAAUACGAAGCUAAGGAUGCAUGCAUGGCGCGAUAUCUGACUAAAGUAAAGGACACCUUACAACGAUUCACUGAAUGGACGAUCGAAAAAAUCAAACGAACUGAAAAUGGAUGUGCCGACGCCCUAGCAGGCAUAGCUGCCUCCCUCCCCAUCAAAGAAGCCAUAUUGUUGCCUAUACAUGUGUAAGCCAACCCUUCCGUCGCGGAAACCUCCAUUUGCAAUACCAUUGAGGCAAACCAAGUAGACGGCCAAGAGUGGACAGAAGACAUUAUAAGGUACCUCCAGACAGACACUCUGCCUGAAGAGCCCAAGCAGGCACAUAAGCUCAGGGUGCAAGUCGCCCGUUUCACCCUGAUUGGGGGGCACUUGUACAAGCGAUCCUUCACAGGUCCCUAUCUCCGGUGCCUUAACCACUUAGAGGCCCUGUAUGUAUUAGCUGAAUUGCACGAGGGAGUAUGUGGAAAUCAUUCUGGAGGUUGAUCUCUGGCACACAGGGCCCAUUCGCAAGGAUAUUACUGGACCAUGAUGAAGAAGGAUGCGGUAGCCUAUGUCAAAAAAUGUGACAAAUGCCCAAGGCAUGCCCCCAUACCACAUGUGCCGUCGGAGACAUUGAAGCCAAUUUCAGGCCCCUGGCCCUUCGCGCAGUGGGGCAUGGACAUAGUAGGACCCCUACCAACCGCACCCGCUCAAAAGAAAUUCCUGCUUGUCGCCACGGAUUACUUCAGUAAAUGGGGGGAAGCUGAAGCAUACGUUAACAUCAAAGACAAAGAUGUCACCAAGUUCGUGUGGAAGAACAUCAUCUGCUGCUUCGGAAUCCCCCAAACCAUUAUAGCCGACAACGGUCCACAGUUUGAUAGCAUCGCUUUGCGGAAUUUCUGUUCGGAACUAAACAUCCGGAAUUCAUACUCCACACCGCGUUAUCCUCAAAGUAAUGGGCAAGCAGAGGCCACAAACAAGACCCUAAUAACUGUCCUAAAAAAGAGGCUCGAGCAAGCCAAAGGAAAGUGGGUGGAAGAGCUACCCGGUGUCCUGUGGGCUUAUCGAACCACACCCGGACGUCCAACAGGAAACGCUCCCUUCGCCCUCGCAUACGGUAUGGACGCAAUCAUUCCUACUGAAAUAGGGCUACCCACUAUCCGGACCGAGGUAGGAAGGCAAGAUGAUGCAAAUGUGGAGUUAGGCAGAAACUUGGACUAGGCAGACGAAGUAAGAGAAACUGCAUCCAUCCGGAUGGCGGAUUAUCAACAAAGGGCAUCUGCUCACUAUAAUCGCAAAGCAAGGCCCAUAAGUUUCAAAACUGGAACGCUGGUCCUUAGGAAGGUUUUGGAAAAUACUGCAAAGAUAGGAGCGAGAAAAUUUUAAGUCAAUUGGGAAGACCCCUAUAUAGUAUCUAAGACAAGUGAAAGUGGAGCCUAUCAUCUACAGAAGCUAAACGGAACCCCAUUGCUCCGACCAUGGAAUGUAUCUAAUCUAAAGCAGUAUUACCAAUGAAAGAAAAAUAGAGGUACAAAUAUGAAUAAGUAUGUUUUAUUAGAACUUGUGAAAAUUGUAUACAAAAGUUCUCUGGACUACAAAAUACAGAGAGAAGAUAGCAGUAAAAUUACAAAAAGAAAAGCUCUCAUUGGGAAGGCUUGCCGCGCAGCUUCUCCUCCUCAGCCGGGGGAAUCGAAGGGACGUCCCGCUUAAUACCAUGUUUCUUCAUACAACAAUGGUAGCCAAAGAAGUACAUUUCGUCUACCUGCUUCUGGCAGUCCGCUUCGAGUUCCUCCCUUUCCACAGCAAACUCAGCCUCCAACUCUUCUUUUUGCACUGAUAAACGCGACUGCAAAUCCUCUCUCUGCUUUUUCUCGAUUGACACAUCUGUCCGGAGUCGCCUCACUUCUCCCCUCAGCUGGGCCAUCUCGUCCUCCGCCUCAUGCAGGCGGGCGUUUGUAGAUUCCUCCCGACUCUUUGCCUCAGCUAGCUCUAUCCGGAGAGCCUCGUUGUCAUCCUAGGCAGCGGAUAAACUGGCUUCGGCCUGCUCCAAUCUCAAGCGCAGUUCCUCUUCACUGUCUUUGCGCUGGGAGACGAAGGCCUUCAUAUAAUCGGCAGUCCGCAGCAGGUCCGAAAAAAGAUCGCGUUGUUGAGCCAUGCCACGAAUACCGCUCACCAGCUACAGAAAAACCUACAAACAAGAAGUGCAAAGUUACAACCCAUGUGACAAACACAUCAAUAUGGCAGGAAAAAUCAAGAAGUAAACUAUACCAUUUCCGCCGCUUCAAACAUUUUUGCUGAAUGCACAUCAACAUUUGAGCCGGGUGGAAUCCGUUUCAGCAUCUCUCCCAACUCCGCAUAGCUGAAAGGGCUAGCGGAGAUGCAAGCCGCAUCAUCAACUAGACUUCCCCCUGACAAAACAGUAGGGUGUGACUCCUCUCUCAGGUCCGGGGCCCCAUCAUUCUCGGCCAGCUGGGUCUCUCCGGGUGAACCCUCAUCCAGGACUAGCACCGGGGAGGUUGGGUUUUCUUCUGCCAUCUCAGUCUCACUCCCCUCAUGAUGAUUCUCCUGGACGGAUGAGCAGCUGACUUCGAUGGUUUCCAGAAAACGAUCCUGAAGCCGCCCGAUGAGGCCAAACUUUAAGUCGCGGGCCGGACGAGACCUCCUUGUAGCUGGCCCCUUCACCGGUACAAAGGCAAGGGAGCUUGGCUCAUAAGGAGGCAAACCCUAACUUGCAGCCCCCGUUUCUUCCAUUGGCAGUGCCGUAGGAGGCUACGUUUCAAUACAAGAGGCCCCGGCUACAUCCGCGUCCGGAUGGGGAGAGCCGGGCUGAUUUACUGAAGUCGCUUCCUCAGCCAGAAGAGCCAGCCGUCCAGCCGCUGGCAUUGAAGGCCCCGAAUGGUUUAGACCCGCGAGACAUCCGGAGCCGCUUGAAACAGAGGGCAAGACGGAGGGAUCUGGCGUUCUUAUUGUUACUCCCUUUACAUAAGUUGGAGGUGGUAUCACCACUUCCUUUGGGGGAGUUGGAAGUUUUAUUUCUUUCCCCUUAUUGAGAACCUUCUUCUUCUUUUUCGCUGGGGCGCCAGCAGGUGGAGAGGACGCGGGACAUUUAUUACCAGGAGCCUUCCGCAAAAGUCCUUCUUGCCUUUUCUCUUCCCGUUUGUUGAGACGGGCUUUGCGUGACUGGGUGUCCGCCUUUCGCACCGCCGCGUAGAAUGGGAGAUCUUUGAGAACGAAAUGCUCACCAGCCACCACCUCUUUGGGCAGCCGCCUCGGGAGUAUGUUCAGCAUGUACGGCUGGGGCUCCUGGAUAACCAAGUGAAGAUUCUGCGCGGAGAGAAGCGUUUCACAACUCCUCUCGACCGCCGCAAUCUCAAAAAGCCUGUUCAACCGGUCGAACGUGGCUUUCUCCACCCAUUCUACCAACUUCCCCCUUUUAUCCUUGUCUGCAACCAAGAAAACAAAACAUGUCAGCCACCUAACAAUGCUGACCUAACUCGCAAACCGCAGAAAGACAGGAAGUAACUUAUUCAUACCUGAGACCUUCAAUGACUGGUUGGGAGCUAACUACCUAUCCGGAUGCACCGUCAAACCCGCCCAUAGGCCCUUGACCAGCACAUGACCCUUGGCGGCCCCCUUGGUCGAGUCCGAAAGGCUGGUCACCAACUGAAGGGAUGGAAGGCUAGCGACAAAGCUGAAGAUGUCAUUUUUCACCUUCUUAAUCGAAUAGAUGAAGAGAACCUCCAGCAGUGAGAGGUCCAGAUUGAACAACAUGCUCAGAAUGCUGCACCCCAUCAGCACCCGGACCAUGUUGGGAUGGAUGUAAGCUGGAGGAAUCUGAGUGAAGUGAAGGAAUUCCUUGAACAAUGACGGGAGGGGGAACCGGAGCCCAGCAUUGAAUUGCUCAUUGGAAAAGAAGAUAGCGUUGUCUUCAAUUUUCUCAGUCGACACGGCCUCUCCGUCCGUAAGUUCAAUGAACAAGCCAUUCGGGAUGCAGAAGCGUUCGCGAAACUCCCUCACAUUCAACUUAUCCACGGAUUUCUCAGCAUGAGCAUCUCCGGACGAGCUAGAUGAAGUAGCUUCCUAGUUCGCAGACAUUUUUUAGGCUGGGGCUGAAAUGGAAUUUGCAUGGAGGAAUGCCAACAGUCAAACACAGCAAUCCGACCCCACAACCCUAACGACAAAAACGCUCAGAAAGCCUAAACAACACCAGCAUCCCCAUCUCAAACCUUAACUCUACCGCAAAGAAGAAUCGAUGGCCUACAAAAGGCACAGGGGUGUUGAGGCCUCGCGUCCCUAGUGAUCCACGUAGUUGCCAAAUGGAUGGACGCACGAUCUCAACCAAUAUAGAGUCCUGGUUCAGUCGUUCCUGCAAAAGGCGUCCGGACAGGGUGUCCAGACACACUCUCCGAUGGUUUUGUCAGCCAUGGUUAGAGAGAAUAAUCAAUUGGCUUUUUACUAAGUAUCGCAAGCUUACCUUCCUCCUUGUGUGAAGGUCCAUAUAUAUAGUAUCAGAAGCUUUGUCUCCCUCUUUAAUGAUAGGAAGAUAUUUUGGCUUGUCAUGAUGCCUCUAGGUGGUGGCAGGGCCAUCAUCACCCUACGGGCGGCUGACAGAGAUCGUGGGAGGCGCCGCAGCUGUCAGAGAUCGUGGGAGGCGCCGCAGUUGUCAGAGAUCGUGGGAAAUGACUUGCCAUCAUUCCUGUCUUUUCACUCUGCAGGUGGCGGAACGUGGGCCGUGGCAGGCUGUUGGAAUGAUGUAGUAAGACUUGCUUACUUUAGUAAAUGAUUCAGACAAACAUAUCCGGAUAGGCUAUGUCGGUCAUCCGGAUGUGAUAUGGCGGUCGUCCGGAUGUGAUGUUUACGAGUGUCGUGUGCUUCUCCUAAGGGAGUCCGGAUAGGAGAAGUGCGCCACGUGUCUUCUUAGGGAAAUCCGGAUGGGGCUAAUCCGGAUAGAAAUGUGUGCCACGUGUCAUCAGGGGGAGGGGUCCCUACAAGGGGGGCAACAGAAACCCUAAACACACCCAAAACACGAUCAAAACCCCCCGAAAAAAGCCCUAGAAACCAAUACCGACUCCCAAUCGCAAAGAAACUUGCCCAGCAAGCCAGAAACAACCAACAAAGCAAACACAAACGAGGAAAAGACAGAGAUAGAGAAUGUACCGAGUGUAAACUGGCGAAUGGAGAUGAAAAUCCACAGUGCAGUCACUGUCACGGCACGGGUAUUGCUAGCAGAAACCCUAGAAACUCACUCACAAAUGAAGAAAAACGCAGAAGGCUGAAGAGAAAGCACUACCAGUAGAAAAAUGCAGAAGAAAAAAUGCAACAAUAAAGGGCUCAGUCCGCUAUUUAUAGUGAGACAAACCCUCGGUAUCCCAAACGCUGAGCCGUGCCAUCAUUUUAAAAGACACACUGCCUGGGAAAUCCCAGAGACGGCGGCUCAUCAUAAAUGCUCUUCUUCCUUUUCGCCCCCGCUCGCCACAUGACCCAAUGAGCGCAAAAAGUAACCUCAGUUUCAAAAACAAUUAUUUUUAACCCGCCCAUUCUGCCCAGGCAAAAUCGACAAGUUAAAAGGGGGGCAUUGUAGGGACCCCUCCCCCUGAUGACACGUGGCACACAUUUCUAUCUGAAUUAGCCCCAUCCGGAUUUCCCCAAGAUGACUCGUGGCGCGCUUCUCCUAUCCGGACUCCCUCAGGAGAGGCACACGACACUCGUAAACAUCACAUCCGGACGACCGCCAUAUCACAUCCGGACGACUGACAUAGCCUAUCCGGAUAUGUUUGUCCGGAUCAUUGACUAAAGUAAGCAAGUCUUGCUACGUCAUUCCGACAGCCUGCCACGGCCCACGUUCCGCCAUCUACAGAGUGAAAAGACAAGAAUGAUGGCAAGUCACUUCCCACGAUCUUUGACAGCUGCGGCGCCUCCCACGAUCUCUGUUAGCCGCCCGUAGGGUGAUGAUGGCCCUGCCACCACCUAGAGGCAUCAUGACAAGCCAAAAUAUCUCCCUAUCAUUAAAGAGGGAGACAGAGCUUCUGAUACUAUAUAUAUGGACAUUCACACAAGAAGGAAGGUAAGCUUGCGAUACCUAGUAAAAAGCCAACUGAUUAUUCUCUCUAACCAUGGCUGACAAAACCAUCGGAGGGUGUGUCCGGACACCCUGUCCAGACGCCUUUUGCAGGAACGACUGAACCAGGACUCUAUAUUGGUUGAGAUCGUGCGUCCAUCCAUUUGGCAACUAUGUGGAUCACCAGGGACGCGAGGCCUCAACAGACACUAGAGAUGGAAAACCCUCGUCUCAGAAAUGCAAGGAAAGGGAAGAACGUGAAGAAUUUGAAGACCUUCACACUUGGAUCAACCCUUGUUUUCUUCUUUUCUCCUCACCUUUCACUCUCAACCGUCUGCCCACACAUAUGCUUCCACAGAGCCCUAGCUGCUGCAUUAUUGGCCUUAGAAACCAGCCGCCAGACCAGCCCAACAUGUGGGUUUGAAAAAAAUACUUUCCUGAGCUGGAACCCAUAUAUGGGCAAGCCCAACAAAGUCCAUCUCUGAUUUAUGAAUUUAUUUUAUUACCUCAAAGCUAUAGGUUUGUGGGUCUGGCCCACACUUAUUGUGGUGUAAUCUCCUAUGUGGUUAAUUUGUCUUUAUAGUGUCUUCUAUGGCUCUCCAUUGCACAUGGAACCAUAUUUAAGAAUUUCAUUUAGUUGGCUGCGUUUCAUCUCAUAGUUUUAUAUGACUGUUGUGAGUAAGCUUUUCAGGCAGUGUCCUGGAAAACUAAUAGAAUUUGGAGGAUUGUCUAAUUGAUCCUAAAGAAUUUUAGCUGAGUACAAAUGAAAUGUGGAAUUUCCAUUAUUCUAAGUUUUAAACUUAUAUUUCACUUAACAACUUUUUUUUUUCCUGCAUUACCACCUCAUAUUGGAUUGUAGCCAUCUUUUCUGUCAGUUUUUUCUUCUUUUCUAGUGUUGCUGAUGCAUUAAGAUAUAUAUCUUUUGUUUUAUAUGAUGAGGAAGUUAUCAUCACGUUUUUCCUUCGUCUUUUUUACAUACAAACUCUUAUGUAGCUUGAAUCUCUUGUCUUUUGUUGUCACAUCCCAAAACCCACUUCAAGGGCAUGACAGUCAUUUCACACCUCAAGCCCAAAGGCUCAAAGUGGAAACGAUACAAACAUUCAUAUUAUAACUGAAAAUUUACCAAUUACCAAAUUCCUAUUCAGAGUAGUAUGACAAAAUUCUAAAAUCUCUCCAAGUAUCAACUUUAAAAAAACUAACACAUCAACUAGAGUGUUAUUGUCCAUAUAACUCCAAAUUCAAAUAAUUUAAAUCGGAAUUAAAUUUUAACAUCUAAACAAUGUCCAAAAAUAAAGUUUGAACCAAAAUCCUAACAAAGAAAAAUUCCCAAGCCUAACCAUCACUCCUCGCCCGAACUGAGAGUACCUGAAAAAUUAUCAACGAAGGGGCAUGAGCUCAAUAAGGAACAUCAAUGUAGUUUCAUGGAUCAAAUAUUUUCAAUCAUGUUUGCAAAUAGGAGAUAUAACAUAUACUUAUUUUCAUAAAAAACUUUUGAGUUCGAAAUACUAAUAUAUUCAAACUUUUCAACAAACUUUCUCAUAUCUUUUUCAAAACAAUUUCUCAUCAAAACCAAAUCAAAUGCAUUCAAAAUAUCUUUACUCUGGUUAUCAAAUAACAAAUGGUGUCCAAUUAGGAGAGACUUCACAAAUGAGUGGCUAGUUUCAAAUUUGUUCUAGUUGAGGUGAACAAAACCAAAAGUCAACAAUUGUAACCCGUUGACUAGGAGUCAUAAGGUCAACUAUUAUAACUCGUUGACUAGAGCCACAAGGUCAACUAUUAUAACCCGUUGACCAUAUAAUAUCAACUAUUAUAACCCGUUGAUUAGGGCCAUAAAAUGUCAACAACCCAUUGACUAGGGCCAUAGGAACUAGAGUCAAACACUUUAUUUCAUUAAUUCAAACUUACAAAACAAAAUAUCAUAUCUCCAAAAAUUUUCACUUUUCAUAAAUAAACAAGGAAGAUUUUCAAAUAUACUUUCCAUACAAAACACAUAUUUGAUCCAUGCAAAAAGAUAAAAAUAAUAUUUUUACACUUUUAAAAAUACAAUAUAAAAAGGAAAUUAUUUUCUUUUGUAAACAUCUGCAUUAAUUUCCCUUACCUUGAAGAAACACUCAAAAUCUUGAAGUAUUUAACUCUAAAGAAUUUCCUCUUCACCUAACAUAAUAUCAUACACAAUAUUGAUUAUUGAUUAUUGAUUAUUUAUCCAAACAUAUAAAUUUGAAAAUCCUAAAAAUAUUUUAUUUAGUAUUAGGGAUCCUAAUUAAUUUCUCAUAUUAAUAUUAUUACCAUCCAAUAUUAUUUUCAACUUCCUAAACAAUAAUUUAUUUCCUUUUUUUCUAACUUAUCUAGCAUAAAUCUUUUAAGAAUAUUUAUUUGCAUUAAACUAUUAUUACUAUUAUUUAAAUCUCCUACCGAAACUUAACAAAUACCCCAUGCAAUCCUUUUUUCUUUUUUUUUUCAACAUGUCAAAUCCUUUCUACGCUUCUUUCAUCAUUUUUUUUUCUCUGAAGUCAAAACUUUUAACCUCUAUACUCACAAUUUUAUAUAAUUUUCACAUCCAAAACUAUAUAAUUUUUUUAAAAUUUAAUUUAAUUUUUUAUCUAAAUCUAUUCAUUUGAGUAAUCAAAAUUUAUUGAUCUCCAUUAAUAAAUCAAACUAUGUUCAUAAAUUUUUAAUCUUUGUGACCUAGAAAUUAAUUAAAUGAACUCUAAUCAAAAUUAAGAUAUUCUAAAGAAUAUCUAAAGUGUUUAAAACUAAUUAACGAAUAUAAAAUAUUAAUUUAAAGAUUAAAAAUCUUACCUGAAAAAUUGAUCUUCAAACCCUAAACCUUCAAACCUUCAACCCUAUGCUCUCUGAUCUUUCUGAUCUUUGUGUAAAAGAGUUUUCUGAAUAGAGAAUAUAGGAAAGAUAUAAUUUAUAUAUAGGGGUUUUAAAUACGAAAAAACCUUUUUACCCUUAUUAAAUUACUUUAAUUAAUUAAUAAUUUCUAAAUUACAAUUUUACCCCUAAAUUGGGUUUGGGGCAUUACAUUUGCAUCAUCAGUAUUUGUCUUUUUCUGUUAUAAACAAGCCUAUAUUGAUGUUGAGCCCUCCCUUCUACUUUAUUUAUGUAUUUCAUACAUUAUCUAGAAGCUAAAGUUUGUGGCUCAUAUCAUUUGUCACUUAUCUUGGUAUUUUGUCUUUAUAAAGUGUCUUAUGUGGCUCUCCAUUACAAAGGGUUAUGAAAAAGAUGUGGUUGUAAGGGCAUUCUCUUCUUUAGGUGGUAACUUUUGUUGAAAUCCAAAAAAAAUUCAAAGAGAAAAAGAGAAAAAAAAAAAAAAAGGGUUUCUUAUUAUGAAUUCUCUUGAAAAUACGUGCAACACUAUUACAAUUUAAAUAGACCUAAUAAAAGAAAAUAAAGACUAUUUUACCCUUACUUCUAAAAAUAUAGAAAAUAAUUCUAACAUUGUAACUAAAUAAACAACAAAUUAUUUUUUUGCCCUUCAGAAAAAUUUCCAUCACAUAACUCCAAAACAAAUAAUUUUAUUUUUUUGUAUCCAAUUUCCUACUUUUAGAUUAAAGGAAUCAUUUCAUUCACUAGGGAUGAUGAAUAAAUAACAAAUAACUAUCAAAAAAAAAAAAAAAAACAUAUAUGAAUCAAAGAAAAUGAAUACGAAAUCGAAUACUAUGAUCAAAUAGGAAAAGAAUUAUGUCAUUUAUCUUGGUAUUUUGUCUUUAUAAAAUGUCUUGUGUGGCUCUCCAUUGUCACUUAUCUUGGUAUUUUGUCUUUCUAAAGUGUCUUCUAUGGCUCUCCAUUGCCACUUAUCAAAAGUCUAAUUAAAAGAUAAUUUUUACUCUAAUACCAAGUUGAAAUCCAAAAAACGAUUUAAAGAUAAAAAGAUCGAGAAAAAACAAAAUUUAGGAUUUCUUUUAAAAAUAACUCCAACAUCAUUAGAAUUUAAAUAAACAUAAUAAAAGAACAUAAAAACUAUUUUAAUGUUGUAGAAAGAAAGAAAAUAAUUCUAAUAUAGUAACUAAAUAUAUAAUAACUAAAUAAUACAUAAUUCUAAUAUACUAACUAAAUAUAUCUAACACCUUUUAAGAUUGGAUACCGUAGAUGGGCCCUUUUAAAUAAUAUUUCUUUGAUGUGAGAAUGGGUUUGAUAUUUUAGUAAAAUAUAGUAAAAUAAUAUUUCUUUUAUUAUAUAAAACAUAAAAGAUAGGAUAUAUAUAUACAUAGAAAAUACGAACAUAUGUAAACAAGUUACGCCUCACACAUUUCUCAACUCCAUAUAUAGUAGUAUUUCUCAAGCAUAUAAUAACAAAGGAUGAAAAUGAAGUAGUUGAGAAUUGUAUGAGAAAUAGGUUCUAGUUACAUUGGGGUUCUUCUUGUACUAGGAGUUGUAGAGACAAGCAAAUUAAACUCCUCGUCAAAAAUAAAAAGAAGUAGAACUAGUUUACGUAUCACACUUGAAAUGAAAAUGCAUGGAAGAGAAAAGCCACACCUUCCUAGAAUCUAGCUACAUGUCCCAAUAGUGUUAGGAUUCCAUAUGAGUUAGAAGUAUAAAUUUUGUGAGCUAGCUCACUUUAUAUAUCCCCAUCAUCAUUAAUUUUUCUCAUGCAGGAAAGCCCAUUUCAAUUUUCUAUGGCUGGUGAAGAAAUAAGUGUCCCAAAGCUACCAGUAGGAUUCAUAUUUCUACCCACGGAUGAGGAGUUGGUGACCUAUUAUUUGAUCAACAGGGUGUAUUACAGGCCUCUUCCAGCCAAACCCAUUCAAGACAUUCCUGCAAGUGAAUUUUACGGCAGUCCUUCUCAUCAUCUAGGUACUUUGAUUUAUGAGCAUGAUAUACAUAUUAAAUCCAAAUCAUGUAAAAUUAUGUUUUUAGGAAAACUGGUAGUUCAACAUGGUAUCAAAGUUAGGAAAGAAGGCUCAAACUUGGGUUUUCUCCAAAAGUGGUUGAAUGUCGUAAAAGUUCGACCUACCCACUCUUCAAAUUGAUAAAUGGUAGUUUUUUCCAUUCAUACUUUCAUUCGUUCAUGUACAAGAGAAUAUAUAGAGGGUAAUCACCAUUUUAAGAAUGGGAAGGAAUGAUACAAGGAAAGAAUGAUAUAAGGAAAUAACAACUAAUAUCCUAAUAUCUCAAUAUUCCUAAUAUCUCAAUAUUCCUAAUAUCUCAAUAUUCUUAAUAUCUCAACUUUCCUAAUAUUUAAACAUUCCUAAUAUCUCAACACUAAAUAAUAUAAGGAAAUAAUGAUAUACGGAAAUCAUUCCUAAUAUCUCAACACUCCCCCUCAAGUUGGUGCAUAGAUGUCACACAUGCCCAACUUGUCUAAAAAUUUUGAGAACACUUGACUUGAGACAGCUUUGGUGAGGAUAUCGGCCAAUUGAUCUUCUGAUCGAAUCUUAGGCAAUUCCACAAUCUUGUCAUCCAAUUUUUCCUUAAUGAAGAAUCUAUCCACCUCGACAUGCUUUGUACGAUCAUGUUGUACUGGAUUAUGAGCAAUGUCACAUGCGGCUUUAUUGUCACAAAACAAUUGGAUUGGUUGCCUAGAUAGGUAACCUAAAUCCUGUAAGAGAAGUCUUAGCCAUAAUGCCUCACAAAGUCCUAGAGCCAUACCUCUAAAUUCUGCUUCUGUACUUGAACGAGCGAUGACAUUCUGCUUCUUACUUUUCCAUGUCACAAGAUUACCACCUACAAAGGUAAAGUAACCAGAUGUAGAUCGCCUAUCAUCCACUGCACCGACCCAAUCAAUAUCAAUAUAUACUUCUAUACUCUGAUGAUUAACAUUUUUAGUGAACAAAAUUCCCUUCCCAGGAGCAUUCUUCAAAUACCUCAAAAUACGCAUAACUGCAUUCAUAUGUUGCUCUCCAGGAUUAUGCAUGUAUUGACUCACUACACUCAAUGCAUAAGCAAGAUCUGGUCUUGUAUGAGCUAAGUACAUUAAUCUCCCCACAAGUCUCUGGUAUCUUCCCUUAUCAGUUGAUACUUGAUUAGGCUCAACACACAAUUUCAGACCUUCUUCUAUUGGUGUAUUAACAGGUUGACAUCCUGACAUUCCAGUCUCUUGUAAAAGAUCUAAGGCAUACUUUCUUUGAGACAGAAAAAUUCCUUCACUUGAUCGAGAAACUUCAAUCCCAAGAAAGUAUUUCAGAGGACCUAGAUCUUUCAUUUCGAAUUCUCUAGAUAGAUAAUUUUGCAGAGCUUUUCUUUCUUCAGGAUCAUUUUCUGUAACUACCAUGUCAUCCACAUAUACGAUGAGUGUGGUAAUCUUACCAUGUUGCUUUUUCAGGAACAAAGUAUGAUCUGAAUUACUUUGACGAUAGCCAAAAGCUCUUAUUGACUUUGUGAACCUUCCAAACCAUGCUCUCAGGGAUUGCUUCAACCCAUACAAUGACUUCUUCAAUUUGCACACUUUCUGACAUUGCUUUUUUGACACCAUGCAUCCUAGUGGAAUAUCCAUAUAUACUUCUUCAGAUAACUCGCCAUGCAGAAAGGCAUUUUUCACAUCGAACUGUUGUAAUGGCCAAUCUAGGUUUGCAGCUAAAGACAGUAAUACUCGAACUGUGUUGAUCUUAGCUACAGGUGCAAAUGUCUCUGUGUAGUCAAUUCCAUAAGUUUGAGUGUACCCUUUUGCUACCAGUCUUGCUUUAAAUUGUUCAAUACUACCAUUUACCUUGUACUUCACAGUAUAGAUCCAACGACACCCAACUGGCUUCUUUCCUGGUGGACAUUCUACGAGUUCCCAUGUUUCAUUCUUCUGCAAUGAUUUCAUCUUUUCAUUCAUGGCUGCUUUCCACCUUGGAUCAGCUAAGGCUUCUUGCACACUGUUAGGAAUAGCUACAGUAGAUAAUUGAUUUACAAAUGACUUAUUUGAUUCAGACAAACGAUGGUUAGACACAUAGUUGCUCAUGGGAUAUUUGACUUUGGUAGACAAUUCAGGUUUAUUUGUGGGUUUAGGAAUACCUCUAUUAUGACGGUGUGGUAACCGUUUCAUGAAUGGAUCAGGUUCCAAAUUAAGAACACCUUCAACAGACGACGAUUGGUUUGGUAUUUCAGUGAAGACAUCUUCGGACCCAAAUUGUUGACCACUCAUAUCCAACUCACCCGCUUCUUGGUUCACUAGUUCAGAUUGUCCAGAUUCAUUCUCCUUAGAGAUAUGAUAAUCAUAAUCGAGAGUCUGAAUUUCCUUAUGGUACUCCCCCUGAAGUUCAGACUCAGAUGAAAAAUACAUCGAAUCUUCAUGAAACACCACAUCCAUUGUAAUAUACAUUUGUCGAGUUGGAGGAUGGUAACAUCGAUAUCCCUUUUUAUGCAAUGCAUAUCCAACAAACACACAUUGCAAUGCAUGGGAAGUUAAUUUGGUGCGUUGGUGUUUGUGUAGAUGCACAAAUGCCACACAACCAAAAACAUGAGGAGGUAGAUUUGGGAAAGUUGGGGCAACUACGGCAUUAGUAAGAGCUUGGAGAGGUGUUUGGAAGUUAAUUGAGCUGGAAGGUACCCAAUUGAUCAAGUAUGCGGCAGAUGUGAUUGCUUCUCCCCAAUAAGAUAUCGGUGUUUUUGCUGCUAUCAAGAAAACACGAACAACCUCUAACAAGUGCCGAUUUUUCCGUUCAGCGACUCCAUUUUGCUGGGGUGUAUUGGAACAAGUAGUCUGAUGAAUGAUGCCAUGUCCUUCCAAAUACUUUUGAAGAUCAGAACUUUGAUAUUCUUCACCAUUAUCACUACGCAGAACCCGAACCUUUGCAUUGUACUGAGUUUCAAUCAUUUUAUGAAAUUUUUGAAACAACAAGUUCACUUCAUCUUUGGUCUUCAUCAAGCAUAACCAUGUCAUUUUGGUACAAUCAUCAAUAAAAGUAACAAACCAAUGUGAGCCACUCAAAGUUGGGACUUUGGAUGGACCCCAAACAUCAGAAUGUAUAACCAUAAAAGGAAACGGACUUUUGUUCAAAAUUAACGGAAACGAAACACGAUGGCUUUUAGCCAAUUCACAAAUAUCACAACGGAAACCAGAAAUAUCACUCUUUGCAAACAAACUAGGAAACAAUUUUUUUAAAUAACCAAAGGAAGCAUGUCCCAGACGUCGAUGCCACAACCAAAUUUCAGACUUUUUCUUCUCCCCCUCAGAUCCAUCUGCCAUCAAGGCUUGUUGCAACUUAUUUGAAUCCUUUGACUGCAAGUCCAAGUAAUAGAGUUUUCCCCGCUUAAUACCACAACCAAUCGUCUGUCUUGUUUGGAUGUCCUUAAUCACACAAAAUUCAGGCCAAAAAAUGACAAUACAAGAUAAGGCUGCGGUGAUUUGAGAAAUUGACAAAAGAUUGUAAUCUAAAGAUGGAACAACUAAGACAGAAUCCAAAUUCAAAGUAUCAGUAAGAGUUAAGGAUCCUUCCCCAAUGACUGGGGUUGUGUUACCAUUGGCUGUGGAAACAAUUUUUUGUGAGGAAGGUCUAAGGGGUGAAACCUGUCUAGAAUCAAAAGUCAUAUGAUCUGUAGCACCAGAAUCAAUUAUCCAUGCACUAUUAAUAACAGGUGUAAAAGUAUUUAAAAACUUACCACCAUGAUCUGUAGCGGCUACCAAUGCAGAGGCUUUCUCAGCAACAUUAACCUCUGUUUUUAUUUCGGCAACAGUUGCAAUCGAGGUUUUCUUGGAAUCCUUCUUCCGUUGAUCACGAUUAUUAUCAUUAAUAAACAAAGUGUUGAUAGCCCUAACAUGAUCUAAAGGUCCAUNNNNNNNNNNNNNNNNNNNNNNNNNNNNNNNNNNNNNNNNNNNNNNNNNNNNNNNNNNNNNNNNNNNNNNNNNNNNNNNNNNNNNNNNNNNNNNNNNNNNAAAGGUCCAUGGUCAAACCCUCGGUUCCUCAUUGUUUUCCUGGUCAUACCAAGAGUCGUUGCUUUGAAAUUAUGGGAUAUCCAGAUUGGUGGGAUCAAUCGUAUUGCAGUGAGUGCAUUUGAAGGUUGACUUAUCAACAUUAGGGCUUGUCUUAGGAUGGAUGAUCACUGUCGGACUACCAUAGCGACAAAAUAUUCAGGAUUUCAGUUUCAUGGCUCUGAUACCAUCUUCAAAUUGAUAAAUGGUAGUUUUUUCCAUUCAUACUUUCAUUCGUUCAUGUACAAGAGAAUAUAUAGAGGGUAAUCACCAUUCUAAGAAUGGGAAGGAAUGAUACAAGGAAAGAAUGAUAUAAGGAAAUAACAACUAAUAUCCUAAUAUUUCAAUAUUCCUAAUAUCUCAAUAUUCCUAAUAUCUCAAUAUUCUUAAUAUCUCAACUUUCCUAAUAUUUAAACAUUCCUAAUAUCUCAACACUAAAUAAUAUAAGGAAAGAAUGAUAUACGGAAAGCAUUCCUAAUAUCUCAACACCCACACAAACCAUGUUUUCCAAUGCUGUUCUUUUCCUUGACGAUACAAUAAGUGGGAUGGUAAAAAAGUUUAUUGGAUGUUUGGCUUAACUGCUUUUCAACUUCUUUAUUUGAUUCAUAACAGCAAUCUCAUCAAGCAGAGAAAGGGAGUAUUUUUUCUUUAUUCAAGGAGAUGAUCAAGGAGAGGAAAUUCGAAUGGUUGAAGAUGGAAGAGGGUUCUGGAAAUUGAGUGGAGAUGAGACUCCGAUCUAUGAUUCAGAUGGGAACAUCUUUGCCUUCAAGAUUUAUUGGACGUAUUUAUCAGGAUCGCUUCAGAAACCCAAGAAAACACAUUGGAGAAUGGAAGAAUAUCGACUUCCCCUUCAUUGUUACAUGGACCAUGAUUUCAAGGUGGGUGAAGAAAAUAAAAAGGAAUGACCAACAUAUGCAAUCUCGUUAUUUUUAUUGGUUUUCAUAAAUAUAAAAAUUUCAAUAUCAAAGAGAGUUUCCUCUUUUAUUUUUUUUAAAAUAAAAUGUGAAAGCAUUUUUAGAAAAUAAAAAUUUAAAAAUAUUUUCCAAAUUAAACACAAUUUAUUAUUAUUUUUUUUCAUUUUUCAUUUUUGUAUUCUUGUUUUUUGCAGGGAGAAAAAUUGGUAUUGGGAAGAAUCAAACGAAGCAAAGAUUAUAUUUCUUGGUUGUAAUUAUUAGGGAACAUGAUAUGUAUAUUGAAUUCAAAUUCUGUAGGCUUAAGUUUUUAGGAAAAUUAGUAGUUCAACGUGGUAUGAGAGCUAGGGAACAUGAUAUGUAUAUUGAAUUCAAAUUCUGUAAGCUUAAGCUUUUAGGAAAAUUAGUAGUUCAACGUGGUAUGAGAGCUUGAUUUAGUGAAAAGUCUUGUAUUCGAGCUGUCUCUUUAGAAUUCACAUUUUCCCAUAUGAAUCUAAAUUACCAAAAUCAUGUAAACUUAAACUUAUAUAGGAAAAUGAGUAGUUCAACAACAAAGUUUAUUUUAUUUUUUAGAAAAAUUGGUAGUUUAAUAUUAAAGUUUAUUUUAUUUUAUUUUUAUGUUAUUCUUUUGAUAAUGGGAUUUAAUUUAUUUAAGAUUAAAUUUAUGUUUGCAAAGUUGAAAUUAUUUAGUAAUUUAUGCACAACACUUAUUCUUCUAUUUUCUUGAUUCUUGAUCGAUUAUUUUCAUGUUGAAAUAACAUGUUGUAAAUUUUUUGAAAAAAUAUCAAUUAAAAAAAUGGUUAAUUUCGAGGACAUUGAAUUAAUUUUUAUAAUAAAAUUUAAAAUGAUUUCCUAUAAAUUUUAAAUUAGUUUUAUUAAAUAAAUGUUAAAAUUAAAAAAAAAAUGUUUAUUUUUUAUCUUGAAUUUUAACCUCAAUCUUCUCUAGUUUGAAAAUCAUUUUAUAGUAAAGACAACAAAAAGCAUAAAAAAUAAAUAAAUUUCUUAUUUUAAAAAAAUAAAUGAUUAAAUUAAAUUUCAAAUUAAUUUAAUAUAAAAUAGUAAUUGUUUUUACGCUUGAAAGUUUUUAUUUCACUUAAUUAUAAAUAAUAAAAAUGAGAGUAUUCUUUAAUCUAGAAAAGGAUAGAAAAUUUAUCCUUCUAAUGAGAUGAUAGUGUAAUGAUUAUAUUAUUUUAAAUUAUACAUAUACAUCACUUAAGAAAUUAAACAAAAUAUAUCAUUUUGAUAGUAAAUAGAAAUAAAUUUAAGAAAAAAAUUAUUUUCUAAUAAUUUUAAAUUUUAUCUUAAAAUAAAUUAAAAGAAUUCAAUUUUUCUAUUCACCUUUUAUAAGAAAUUAAAAUUUUAGUUUUCCAUAUUUCAUAUAUUUUUUUUAAAUGAAAAGAACCUUUACAAAUAAAUUGAUAAAUAAAAAAAUUAAUUUUAAGUCAAUGGAUGAUAAUUUUUUUUCCUUCAUUUUUUAAGUUUAUUUUCAUAAAAUCACAUGACUUAAUUGAUAUUCUUAAACUUGACUAAAAAUUUAACACUUGGUUUUUAAUUUCCUAUAGAUUAAAAAUACAAAUAUAAAUAGAAAUUUUUUUAAGUGAACUGAAAUCAAUAAUUUAUUUAUUUUCAUUCAAUUUUUAAUUAUAGUAAAGAUAAAGUAAUUAUAUUGGAAAUUAAUAAGUGCAUAAAUUUAUAAAUAUUUUCAAAUUUGUGGAUAUAAAUUUUAUUUUUCCAUGUUAUUAAAUCUAUCUAUUUAUGUUAUAUUCUCUCUACAAAAGAUUUUCUUCACUCUCGAUUAUUUGACAUUUUAAAAAAUUUAAUUAAAUAAAAAUCAUUUUGAAAUUUCUAGAAAUUUAAUUAAAUAAAUAUCUAUUUCAUAUAUUGCUUUUGCAAUUGAUAUUGAGACAUGAAUUUUAGCCUUUAAGAAACUUUCCCAAACAAAGCGUUAAGUUCAUUAAAGCAUCAAAAAAUUAACGCUUGGCAUGGAAUAAGCACUUUUCGGUACUACCAUACUGAAUAUUUUCCAGGGUCUUUGCUUUGGAAAUGGCUUUAAUCAAUCCUUGAAAGUUGGAUCACAUAAUAUCUUGUGUCAAAUCCAGCGCUCCUCAACAAUCUUCAUUUUGAAAACAAUCACAUUUUCACAAUGAAACUCUAUGGAAAAAUUUCUUUUCUAGCUCCUUUAUUAUGAUUUUUGCAGUAACAAACUUUUUUUUUGCUCUUUCUCUUUGUCAGUGAGUUAGACCAUAAAGUUUCGAUUCAUAAUUUUGUUCCAAACAUUAUAUGAUCCACAUGAUGCAUUUUUUGAGACUAAUUUUGAUACAACUUUUAAUGCUAGUAUUCAUCCAAACAAACUCAUUCAUAUUUACUUGAACGAUCUUAAAUAUGAUCCUCAAACUAAAAAACCAAAUUUGCAUAAUAGCAGGUGCUUAACACCUCUGGUGAGUGCUUAACACCCCUGGGGAGUGCUCAAGUGUUCAAGACUAAUUUUAUAUUUUUUUGUCAUUUUUAUUUUUUUUAUUUUUAUUUUGUUAUCGAUUUGGCUUGCUAGAGUUCAAAUACACCCUUUUUUUUUUUCAAUAAUUUUUGAAUGUUUUAAAUAUGCUCUAGAACAAUAUUGUCCUUAUUCCCAUUGAGGCUCCAAGAACCUCAUUCUUGAUAUAGAUUUGUUGGUGGUGGUGGUUGACUACAUCCCAUUGAGGCUUUAAGGAGUUCACAAUGGAGCACACUGUGUUGUGUUGGCUCCAAGAACCUCAUUCUUGAACCUCAUUCCAAGAACCUCAUUUCCCAAAGAGAGGAUGGCCGGGCUGCCCCCACUUUCAGUCCCCAUUUUCCCCCCAUUUUUUCUUCUUCAGUUUUUCUAACAGAGACACGGCAGCCCAGCCCCGAAUUUUUUUCUCUCUUUUCCCCCUCUCUGCAACUCCACUUCGAUUCAGAGCAGCGCCCAGGGAUUCACUUCUUUUUUAUUUUUUAUUUUUCAUCAUUCCAUUCACUCCACUACACCUCACCGGCCGAACACCCCUUCAUUUCUUUCCCAUUUUUUUUUUCCUUUCAUUCUCCAUUUUUUUUCCUUAUUUUCUUUAUUAUUAUUAUUAUUUUCAAAAACUCAACCCCUCACCGCCGUCGGGACACCGAUCAGUCGCCACCGGCGAGCCACUGCCGGUCGGUGAUCCCCUUCCCAUCUCACCCUUUCCAUUACUAUUAUUAUUAUUAUUAUUAUUAUAUUAUUAUUAUUAUUAUUAUUAUUAUUAUUAUUAUUAUUAUUAUUCAUUUUUCUCGAUUUGAUUAUAAUAGUAAUUGUUGUUUAUGAUACUUGAAUUGUUGAAUUAAUACAAAAUUUGAGUUAAUUUGUUGGUGGUGAAUUAAUAUGAAACUUGGGCUAUUUUUGUUUUUGCAUGGACUCGUUCUGCGAACUUGUUGGCUGAGUAUAAAUUUAUGACACGUGAAGCACGGAAUUUCAUGGAACAAAGUGAGACUCGAAAAGCUGUAAAUGGAGCAUUAAACUUAUUGUAAGCCUAUUGGGGUACAUAUUUGAUUUCUCAUUUAUAUUCAGUUUUAUUUUUAUUGAUUUCUGUAAAUAUUUAUCUAUGUAUAUUUACUUGUGUGUACAGAAUUGAAUAUUGAACAAACUAGAAAUUUUGUUUAAAUGAGAGGAAGAAUUCAGUAAAUGUGUUUUGAUGAAACAAUAAUUUUAAAAUAUUAUUUUUAAUAAAAGAAAGUUUUUUUUUAUUAUUUAUAAAAAUUCAGAAAAAUGCAUUUAGAAAAAUCCAAAAAAUUGUUUUUAAUAGAAUUUGAAAUUUUUUUUAAUGACAUUGUCCAAAAAUUUUUUUGUUUAAUAAAAAUUGUCCAAAAAUUGUUUUGUAAAUAAAGUUGUCCCAAAAAUUAAUUUUUAAUAAAAUUGUCUAAAAAUAUUUUUUCAAAUGAAUUCUUUUUCUUUAAUUAAAAUGGGAUUAAAAGUGUUUUUCAGAUAUAGAAGAUUUAAAUAUUUGUUUUUCUUUUUAAUUAAAAUUUCUUUUGCAAAUAAAGUUAUAUCAUUUUAAAUAAUUUGUAAAAAUCACUCUUUUAAAUGAAAAUAAAUCUAAAUACUUUUGUAAAUAAAAUUGUAAAAAUUCAUUAUUUUCUAGUAAAAGUAACUAAAAAUAAUUUUUGUGCCCAAAUUGAAAUUUUGUAAUAAAUUCUUUUGAUACUAAGUGUAAAUAACUUUUUUUGAAAAUUGAAUAUAAACGAAGUUGAGAAAAUAAAUUGAUUCUUUUUUUGUAAGAAAAUAAUUUAAAAUCAUUAAUUUAAAAUCAUUUUUAAUAAAAUCCUUUGAAAUUUCUUUAAAACUUUUUAAAAUAUCUUUUAUUUAUUUAAUUCAAUAAAUCAUUCUGUAUAAUUCUCUCAUUAUUUAUUUUGUGUAUUUUCGUAAUUAGAUUUCAUCAUUAUUUGUGUAUAUUGCUUUUCACUAUGACUUGUACAUGCUCAUUUGCUUGAUUAUUAAUUUUGGUAUCCAUGAUUAAUUAGUUAAUUGUCACCAUUACUUCAUUUUAUUAGUAGAGACCCGAUUUUAGGGAUUUAGAGGGGUGUUGCGGUCUUUACUGUACCUUCCCGAUAAGUAACCUGACCCCCGAACUUGAUCCGGUUUUUCACAGAUCACCUUUUCCAAAAUAAAGAGUCACACUUAGGGUUUUUAUUUCUUAUUUUGUUUUCCCUUUAAAAAAAUUAAAAUAAGUGACGACUCCAAGUCUUUUUUCUAAGAAUCAAAUUUUAUCAAAUAAAACAAAAAGCGAGUUUCGCUAUCGAGUAGGAACGCAUGAGUCGAAAAUACAGGGUCCACAAAGACCCUUGAGAGAAUAUAGGGUUUGAUUUAUGUAAACUUGUGUAUUUGAUCUUUCAUAUUUAUUGAAUUUGCUUAAUUUGUAGUCGAUUAGACUUAUGAUUUUUACCUCAAUAGUGUUUUUUUAUUUUUUAUUUUAUGUAUAUUGGUAUGUUUGGUAAUUAUUUUCAAGAACAUUUUUCUUUUUUUUUAGAGCAAAAAAAAAAAAAAAAACAUGUCUCAUAACCAACAAGCUAUUUUCUAUUUUUUGUUCUUAAAAACAAAACACAAAGUAUUUUCAGAAAAUAAUAUAUUUUAGUUGUUUUCACUUAUUUUCACUUGUUUUCUAGAACCGUUUUGAAGAAUAAUUAUACAAACAUGUAAAAUGAUAAAAAAAUAAAAUACUAGAUAUAAAAAUUAUUUUUAAAAAUAUUAAAACAAAUUGAAAACAUUUUAGAUUUCUAGAUAGACUUUUGUUUUACAAAACAUAGAAAAUAGUUUUCAAAAACUGAUUUUCAGAAUUAUUUUUGAAAACAGUCACCAAAUAUGGCAUAUUAUGCCUUUUGUGCAACUAAAAUUCAUUUUAAUAUCUAUAAAAUGUUAUUUGUGAAAAAUUUGAAAUUUAAGACAUCAAAUCAUGGUUACCUAUUCACUCUUGUGUUAAUUUUAGGAAUCAAGAUUUGUACUUUCAAUCGGUAUCAAAGCAUAUUGAAGUUAAAAAAUUAAAUUUUUUAUUCUUGUAUAAUUGUUAUCUAUAUAUCUUAUAUUAAUUAAAGAAAAUAUUAUUUUUAAAAAAUUUGAAAUUUAAGACAUAAAAUGAUGACUACUUAUUCAAUCUCAUGGUAAUUUCAGGAAUUAAGAUUCAUACUCUCAAUUAUUAUCAAACCAUAUUAAAGUUAAAAAAUUAAACUAUUUAUUCCUACAUAAUAGUUGUUCGAUGGAACCACAAAGAGUACAUCAUCUAUAAAAUUUUUAUCAUGGUUUGUCUCAACAAUCUCCGUACCUAAUUUUCUUAGAAUAUACUUUAUAAGAGUAGGACAACAACUCGAGUGGGUUGGGUUGAGUUCAUGGCUAAUCCCACAUCAACCUAUUUCAAUGGGAGAUUGAUUCAACACAUUUGAAUAUAGUAACAUUGGGAAACAUCUUCAUUGUUUCAGUGCUUCAACAAAGGUUUGGAAAUUCUUGUAAGAAGAUCCACCUUCAAUCACACUUUUUCUAGCCAUUUCCUUCAACUUCUCUGCAUUUGCUUUUAUACCAUCAUCAGAAACCAACAUUUCGAUCUUCUUCUUAAUCUCAUGCCUUGAUAUGAAUCCAUUUUCAUCUGGGUUCAACCCCAAGCCCACCUUCCAUUUGUCGCAUAUGUAACUCUGGUUAUGGAAUUGAUCUGCAAAGUAAGGCCAGCAUAGGAAGGGGACUCCCAUGCCUAUGCCGUCCAUGGUUGAGUUCCAUCCACAAUGGGAUAAGAAACAUGCAACAGAAGGGUGAGCUAACACCUUUUCUUGGGGUGCCCAUGAAACAAUCUUUCCAUGCUCAGCUACUCUCUCUAUGAAACCAUCUGGGUAUUCAGCAGCUGAUCCAUUGGUGAAGUCUGAUCGGACAACCCAUAAAAAUGGCCGGCCUACAAGUUCAAUACCCAGUGCUAGUUCAUUGAAUUGGUUCUGGCUUAAGAUUGCUACGCUUCCAAAGGCAACAUAAAUGACUGAGCCAGCAGGUUGCUUAUCGAGCCAGCUUAUGCAAGUUGAAUCCUCAGGCCAAAAGUUUCCAGUAUAAUGACCCAGAUGAUUACUUGCAAGUAACGGGCCUAUUGGUAAUAUGUUGGGAAUCAAGUCACAAGCAGAUGAAUCAAGUUCGUAAACAGAGUUGCAAAGAAGCCAAUUGGAAAGAUUCAUAGCUGAGAUGUCUUUGAAAGCAAAUUGGAAAAUGACCUUUUGUAAGUUUGGAUCACUUGGGCAGCUCCAGGGCAAUUUGUUGCUGCUAAAGGCUGGGAUAUCCUUUGCCAGGGAGAUCAACUCGUCGUUCAAAAGAGAUCCUGCAAAGAUAUUACAAUUAUUAAUUUCCAUCAAAACCAAGAAAAUACUUAGCUACUUCCCCCGAUUUUUAUUGAAUUUUCAGGGGCUAUUAGCUUUAGUCUCUAACUUGUUUUCAAUUACUAGAACCUUCAUGUUUCAACAAAUUUAAUUUUAGAAAUAUGAUAUGUGCAAGUUGAAGUGUUAAUACCAUCAAUACCAUUUACAUGUCCGGCCUCAAUAAGCCUUGGAAUGUGAAAUAACAAAGCCAAGCUUCCUGGUCCACAGGGGCAAAACGCAACGCUCUUGAUCCCCAUCUUCUCGGCAACCUCUAGCGCCCACCCAACUGUUGUAUCAGCAAUAACACAAGUGAUCUUCUCAUCAUCAUUCGAGUUGUUAACCUUCUCAAUCAACUCCUUCAAAUGACCCGGCAUGACUCUUAACAUACUGUCUGUCGACUUGAGUAAAUCUUUUCGAUCCUCCCCUGGACCCAGUCCAUCUGGGAUCGAGGCUAGCCCUAUCCGACUCUGAGCCUCAUCCUCAUCUGGCAGUGCAGCCACCAGUUUUUCAUGUAUGAAGUCUGAGUUAACAAAGGUGACCUUGAUCCCAUGAUCAGAAAUCUGGUACGCAAACUUCAUAAGGGGAGUAACAUGUCCUUGUGCUGGGCAUGGAAUAAUCAGCACAUGAGGUCGGCCCAUGGUUGCUGCCAGCACUUCUGCUUCCUCUGAUCCCAAGUUUCAGGAUUAAUACUGCUUCUCUUUAUUAGCCUGAGCCCUCUAUUGUGUGAAUCGUAUACCUAUUUGCUAAAAUUUUAGCUGCAGCCCAUCUCCCAUUUAUGAAUUUCAUUCAUUAUCUGAAAGAUAUGGUGUUGUUGCUUUUAUCUCCUAUCUAUUCUGUCUUUAUCAAGUGUCUUGUGUAAUGGCCCAAACCCAAGGGUAAAAUCAUAAUUUAGAAAUUAUUAAUUAAUUAAAGUAAUUUAAUAAGGGUAAAAAGGUAUUUUCGUAUUAAAAACCCCUAUAUAUAAAUUAUAUCUUUCCUAUAUUCUCAAUUUAGAAAACUCUCUUACACAGAGAUCAAAAAGAUCAGAGAGCAUAGGGUUGAAGGUUUGAAAGUUUAGGGUUUGAAGAUCAAUUUUUAGGUACUUUCAAUUCGGGUGAAGAGUGAUGGCUAGGCUUGAGAAUUUUUCUUAGGAUUUUGGUUCAAAUUUUAUUUUGGACAUUGUUUAGAUGUCAAAAUUUAUUUUUUCGUUUAAAUUAUUUAAAUUUGGAGUUAUUUGGACAAUAACACUUUGAUUGAUGUGUUAAUUUUUUAAAAGUUGAUACUUGGAGAUUUUAGAAUUUUGUCCUAUUACUCUAAAUAAGAAUUUGGUAAUUGGUAAAUUUUCAAUUACAAUACGAAAGUUUGUGUCGUUUUCACUUUGAGCCUUUGGGUUUGAGGUGUGAAAUGACUGUCAUGCCUUUCGAGUGGGUUUUGGGGCGUGACAUCUUGUGUGUCUCUCCCGUUACUUUGGUGUAAUUUUAAAGCUAUAUAGCCUAUAUUGCACUGAUAAACUUUUGGUUUCUACAUUACACACUCCAUAUAUGCAUUAAACUUUUUGUUAGUGCAGCCAUUGGAUUGUAGUCAUUUUUUCUACUUGGUUUUUCCACCAAGUUAUUGAUACCCUAUGGAUUUAUUCUCAAGUGCUUCAAGGUAUAUUAUCUGAAGUUACCAUUGGUUGUUUGCUUUGUCUUUUAUCUAGAACCUCAUAUGUAGCUAGCCUCUUUUUGUUGUUGCAUGAUUGGUUUGAGCUCUUCCUUCUUAUCCCAUGUGUUUGUUGACCAAGCUUGUAUUGAUGUUGAACCUGAUUGAUGCUACUAGCAAGGGAAAUGAAAUUGAAAUAUAUAUUCUUUCUCAAUGUUUUAAAUAAAAAUUAUGUUUCAUUCAAAUAUUUCAAUUUAAAAAAUCAAAAUUUUCUUGUCUUAAACAAUAUUCAUUAUCAAAAUAUUUAAAAUUUUGUUAUAUUAUAUUAUUUAAUAUAUGAAAAUAAUUUAUAUAUAUAUGUGUGUGUCCUAUAUGUUAACUUAGGAUUUAACAUAUUCUAUAUGGAAGAUAUAUAAAAAAGAGAUCAAACAAUAUAUCACAAUACUUAUCCUAUAUCAUAUUUGGUUGAACAUAAGAAAAGAUAAAUUAUAAAAUAACUUAUCCUAUCCUAUUACUAAUUAAAUAUGGGAUAAGAUAUAUUAUCUUAUUUUUUAUCUUAUCUCAUACUAUAUCUAAUUAAUUAAAUAUAGUCCAAAUAUAAAUUGUUUUGUGGGUGAUUCUAAUCAUCUUGAUCAUAAAAACUACCAAAAAGGUCGUGACAAAAAGAAAGAAGAUUCAUAGGCUUAUCCAAUAACAAGUAUUAAUAUUCAUUUUCAUAGAGACGUGUUCAAAUCAUCUAAGGCCAAAUUAGAGAUAAAUAAAUAUUGUAAAUUUUGUCAUAAUUAAUUGAAUACAUUUUUUUUUCUAUAAUAAUAAAAUGAGUUCAUUGAAUAGAGAAACAAAAACAAACAUGUUUCCAAUGAACCUAUGCUCAAAUCUUUCCAAAAUUUAAAAUAUAGAAUAUAUUAAAAUGCUAUGGUCUCUUCUCUGCACUCCACUACAUGAUAUAUUUUCAUUUAUUUAUUUAUUUGGAUAAACUUGCUUGAUCCAACUCAUUUACAUCUUUGAUUCAAAUGUGGGAGUCGGUCAGGGCCCCGGAGGGGCACAUGCCCCCCUUAAAAAAAUAAAAUCAUAAUAAUUUAAGCCAUUGACUUACUAUUUGAGGAGAAAACAUGCUUUUCAAUGCACUAUAUAUCAUAAUUUUUUAUAAUAUGAACAAUAUAAAAAAAUAAAAGAUUGUGAUGUAUUCAAGUAUUGAAAUACCACUAGAAACCAAGGUUUAAAUUUGAGUUUUGGACUUUGAAAUUUAUGAAAAUGGGGUCAAGCAGAAGAAAGAUUUUUGGUAGCCAACCAAGGCAGAAUCAGUUUCUUUGGCUGCUUCAUCUUUCAUUUAUUUCCUUUUCCCAUUAAAUUAUUAUUAAUUAUCUAACAACUUAUGUUGAAUAAUGAAGGGCUGCCCCCACUCUUAAUUACAAUACAAAAUUGGUAGUUGUUUUUAAAUAUUUAGCAUAUAUCACUCUCAAAUGCUUCUACAUAAUAAUAUCACCUUAAUAAUAUCACUCUCAAAUGCUUCUACAUAAUUCCCAAAUACUUUAGCAUAUAUUCUAGCUAGGGAAGUGAUCUCUAGUUUUUUUUUUGUCCUUUAUGGAAGGUCUUAUGCAGCCAACCUCGUUUUCUAGUUGUAUGGCUUUUAGUUCUUGGUUCUUUUCCCAUGUAUUGGUCUUUUUCUCAAUCUUAUAUGCCUUCAAACGAUCCCAUUUUCCUCUGGGUUCAGCCCUAAACCCACCUUUAUACAUCACAGAUACGGAAGUGGACGCCAAGGUAAGGACAAACCUUCACCAUUCGGUUCCAAGCAGAGUGGAUUAAGAAACCAGCAAGGACAAACCCUUGGCUUUGAUUCACUCAGCCGGUGGCAGAGCCAAUAAUUUUUCUUAGAACAAGCAUUACAAUAACCCUGGAUGAAUUUUAGAAAUUGCUGAAAAUGAGUAACUUUAGACUUUAGUCAUGAAUAAAUAUAACAUAUCAAAUUAAAAAUUAAAAAUAGAUUUUAUUAACUUACUAGUUAAAAAUUGAAAUUUAAAAAGAAAAUCUUCAAAAAAGUUAAAAAAUGGGAAGAAAAUAAGAAAUCUUACUAGUUAUUUCUCAAUAAUUUUAAUAAUCUCUUCCUAGUAAAAAGGAUCUUUAAAAAAUUUAUUUUUUUUCCAAAUAGCUACAUACAAAUGAGUUGGAAGUAAUAAAAUAUUUUAUUAAUAAUUUCCUAUGAUAUAGUAAUUAUCGUUAAAAUUCCAAGUAAAAUAUAAAUAGUUAGUUAGAGUUUGAUAUUUAUUAUUAUGUAUUAAGGUACCCUAUUCUAACAAAAUUCUAGAGCACCCAAGAGGUAUUGUUUGGAAGAUUUACUAGUAAUCAUUGGAUUUUUUAUUUCAAUCUUCAUAAAGUAAUAGCAAGAACCAAAACUAAUUAAAAGAACUUGAUUAUAAGGUUUUGGUUAACAAUUUUUUUUCCAAAUAUUAUGAGGUCUACGCUAUAUAUUUUUUGAGAUUUACAUUGACCUUUGAAGAUUUGAGAUUAUCAUGAAAUCACAUUUAAAACCAUUCAAGUACAAUUGAAUUUGUUUGGGUGAAUAAUAACAUUAGAGGAUGUACUUCGAGUUUAUUGUAUGAUGAAACUCUUUUGAGCGGAAAAAAAAAACCAAUUUUGCACAUGAGUGCAUGCUUGAGACUAUUUCUGUAUAUAUUUGUCAUUUUUUAUUUGUGUUAUUGGUUGAGCUUACCAAGGUUUUCAAAGUAUAAAUAUACCUUAUUUUGUCAAAUAUUUUAAAUACAUACCAGAACAAUAUUAUCAUUAUUUCCUACACAUUUCCAUCACUUUCAAGAAUAUCAUUCUUGACACAAAUUUGUGCAUGGUGGUUAAUUAUACAUCCUAUCAAGGCAUUGAGGAGUUUACAAAAGAACAUAAUGUGUUGUAUAUAUAGAGGUGAAGACAUAUGUAAGUGCCAGCCCCUGACCUAGGAAAAUAGAAUGUUUGUUUCAUAUAAAUUUAUGUAUUUGCUCUUUCGUAUUUAAUGAAUUUACUUUGUUAGUGUCAAAUUGGGUCUGUGUUUGAUAUUUGUCGAGUUUUUAGUAGAAUGUAUGAGUGAUAUAUUUAUAGAGCUUAUAGUAAACUCUAUGGGUGAUUUUCUAUGUCUAAUACAUAUCUUUUGUGCGAUUGGAAAUCAUGCAUGUUAAUAUCAAAAUAUCUCAUAUUAAUUCAAGAAAUAUUUUUUGUGAAAAAAUUGAACUUUAAAACAUAAAAUCAUUAUUACAUAUUCACCCUCCAUAAAUAUCGGGAAUCAAGAUUCAUACUUUCAAUGGGUAUCAAAGCAUAUUGAAUUUAAAAAAUUAAAAUCUUUUAUUCCUACACAAUCUUGAUUCACGGAACCACAAGGACCAGAUCAUCAAUGAAAUUUUAUCAUUGCUUUAGUACUCGACAAUUUCUGUGGGUAGGAAUACAACUUGAGUAGGUUGGGUUGGGUUGGGUUGAUGGCGAUUUAACACAUUUGGGUUGGGUAGGAAAAUGUCUUCAUUGUUUCAGUGCUUCAACAAAGGUUUGGAAAUUCUUGUAAGAAGAUCCACCUUCAAUCACACUUUUUCUAGCCAUUUCCUUCAACUUCUCUGCAUUUGCUUUUAUACCAUCAUCAGAAACCAACUUUUCGAUCUUCUUCUUAAUCUCAUGCCUUGAUAUGAAUCCAUUUUCAUCUGGGUUCAACCCCAAGCCCACCUUCCAUUUGUCGCAUAUGUAACUCUGAUUAUGGAAUUGAUCUGCAAAGUAGGGCCAGCAUAGGAAGGGGACUCCCAUGCCUAUGGCGUCCAUGGUUGAGUUCCAUCCACAAUGGGAUAAGAAACAGGCAACAGAAGGGUGAGCUAACACCUUUUCUUGGGGUGCCCAUGAAACAAUCUUUCCAUUCUCAGCAACUCUCUCUAUGAAAUCAGGGUAUUCAGCAACUGAUCCAUCGGCGAAGUCUGAUCGGACAACCCAUAAAAAUGGCCGGCCUACAAGUUCGAGACCAAGUGCUAGUUCAUUGAAUUGGCGCUGGUUGAAGAUUGCUAAGCUGCCAAAGGCAACAUAAAUGACUGAGCCAGCAGGUUGUUUAUCGAGCCAGCCUAUGCAGGUCGAAUCCUCAUGCCAAAAGUUUCCAGCAUAAUGACCCAGAUGAUGACUUGCAAGCAAUGGACCUAUUGAUAAUAUGUUAGGAAUCAACUCACAGGCAGAUGAGUCAAGUUCGUAAACAGAGUUGCUAAGAAGCCAAUUGGAAAGAUUCAUAACUUGGAUGGCUUUGAAAGCAAGUCGGAAACAGAUCUCUUGUAAAGUUGGAUCAGUUGGGCAGCUCCAGGGCAAUCUGUUGCUGAUAAAGGCUGGGAUAUCCUUUGCCAGGCAGAUAAACUCGUGGUUCAGAAGAGAUCCUGCAAAGAUGUUUCAAUUUUAAUUGAAUUUUCAGGGGCUAUUAGCUUUAGUCUCUUAACUUGUUUUCAAUUACUAGAAAUCUUCAUGUUUCAUCAAUUUGGUAUAAGCAACAGAUUUAAUUUUAGAAAUAUGAUAUGUGCAAGUUUAAGUGUUAAUACCAUCAGUAGUAUUUAGAAGUCCGGCCUCAAUAAGCCUUGGAAUGUGAAAUGCCAAAGCCAAGCUUCCUGGUCCAAAGGGGCAAAACGCGACCCUCUUGAUCCCCAUCUUGUCGGCAACCUCUAGCGCCCACCCAAAUGCUGAAUCAGCAAUAACACAAGUGAUCUUCUCAUCAUCAUUCGAGUUGUUAACCUUCUCAAUCAACUCCUUCAAAUGACCCGGCAUGACUCUUAAAAUACUGUCUGUCAGCUUGAGUGAAUCUUUUCGAUCCUCCCCUGGACCCAGUCCAUCUGGGAUCGAGGCUAGCCCUAUCCGACUCCGAGCCUCAUCCUCAUCUGGCAGUGCAGCCACCAGUUUUUCAUGUAUGAAGUCUGAGUUAACAAAGGUGACCUUGAUCCCGUGAUCAGAAAUCUGGUACGCAAACUUCAUAAAGGGAGUAACAUGUCCUUGUGCUGGGAAUGGAAUAAUCAGCACAUGAGGUCGGCCCAUGGUUGCUGCCAGCACUUCUGCUUCCUCUGAUCCCAAGUUUCAGGAUUAAUACUGCUUCUCUUUAUUAGCCUGAGCCCUCUAUUGUGUGAAUCGUAUACCUAUUUGCUAAAAUUUUAGCUGCAGCCCAUCUCCUAUUUAUGAGUUCCAUACGUCAUCUGAAAGAUAUGGUGUUGUGGCUCAAGUUCUUUGUCACUUUGGUUUUAUCUUCUAUCUAUUUUGUCUUGAUGAAGCAUCUUGUGUGGCUCUCCCGUCACUUUGGUGUAGCUUUGAACCUAUAUUGCACUGAUAAACUUUUGGUUUCUGCAUUACAAACUCCAUAUAUGCAAUAAACUUUUUGUUGGUGCAGUCAUUGGAUUGUAGCCAUUUUUCCUACUUGGUUUUUCCACCAAGUUGCUGAUACCCUAUGGAUUUAUUCUCAAGAGCUGCAAGGUAUAUUACGAGGAAGUUAUCAUCGGUUGUUUACUUUGUCUUUAACCUACAACCUCUUAUGUAUCUAGCCUCAUUUUGUUGUUGCAUGAAUGGUUUGAGCUCUUUGUUCAUAUCCCAUGCAUGUAUUUGUUAAACAAGCUUGUAUUGAUGUUGAGCCUGAUUGAUGCUAGAUUUGGACAAUGAAGGGAAAUGAAAAUUUGGACAUGCAAUGGCUAGAUUUCACCUUAAUAGUAUUCAAUUAAUGCUUCUAUAUAAACAGUACUCCAAAUGCUUUAGCAUAUAUUCUUGGGAAGUCAUCUCUAGUUUACUUUGUUCUUUAUGUAGGGCCUUAUGCAGCUAGUCUCUUUUUCUAGUUGCAUAUAUGGUUUUGAGCUCUUGGUUCCUUUCCCUUGUAUUGAUUUUUUUUUCUCUAUCUUAUACCUUCGAAUGAUCCCGUUUUCCUCUUAGUUCAGCCCUGCAUGCACCCACCUUUGUAAAUCACAGAUAUGGAAGUGGUCGCCAAAGUAAGGACAGACCUUCAUCAUUGAGUUUCCAAGCAGAGUGGAUUAAGAAACCAGCAAGGACAAACCCUUGGCAUUGAUUCACUCAGCCGGUGGCAGAGACAAGAAUUUUUCUAACUAGAACAGAAGCAUUACAAUAACCCUGGAUGAAUUUUAGAAAUUGGUGAAAACGAGUAAUUUUAGACUUUAGUUAUCAAUAAAUAUAAUAUAUCAAAUUAAAAAUUGAUUUUAGGAUCUUACCAAUUAAAAAUUGAAACUAAAAAGGAAAUUUUUCAAAAAAGUUAAAAAAUGGUAAUAAGAUACAAAAUGUUAUUAUUUUUUUUUCUCAAUAAUUUAAUAAUCUCUUUUAAGAAAAUUAUUUUUUACCCCAAAUGACUACAUAUAAAUGAGUUGGAAGUAAUGAGAUAUUUUAUUAAUAAUUUCUUAUGAUAUAGUAACUAUCAUUAAAAUUUCAAGUAAAAUAUAAAUAGCUAGUUAGAGUUUGAUUGUUAUUAUCUAUUAAGGUACCCUAUUCUAGCAAAAUUCUCUAGCACCGAAGAGGUAUUGUUUAGAAGAUUUACUAGUAAUCAUUGGAUUUGUGAAUUCAAAAUCUAUCAAGCAAUAGGAAGACACAGAACUAACUAAAAGAACUUGACUACAAAGUUGUAGUUGACAAUUAUUUUUUCCCCAAAUAUUAUGAGAUCUCUAAGUAUUUUUUUGAGAUUUACAUUGGCCUUUGAAAAAAUGAAAUUAUCAUGAAAUCAUAUUUAAGACCAUUCAAGUAAGUAUGAUUGAGCUUGUUGGGGUGAAUAAUAAUAUUAAAUGAUGUACUUUGAGUUUAUUGUAUGAUGAAACUCUUUUGAGCGGAAGAAACCAAUUUUGCACAAGUGUUUGAAAUUAUUUUUUAUUUUUAUUUUUGUCAUUUUUCAUUUGUGUGUUAUUGGUUGAGCUUGCUAGGGUUUUCUAAGUAUAAAUAUACCUUAUUUUGUCAAAUGUUUUAAAUACAUAUUAGAACAAUCAUUAUUUCCUAUGCAUUUCCAUUUUUUUUUUGAUAAGUAAAAGAAGUAUAUUAAACGAAAAGAGGAAACACAAAAAAUCGGUGCCCUCUAAGUAUACAGGGAGUAUACACACCACCUUUCCUAACUAGGAGCCUAUCCAGUCUAUAAAACUUACAAGAGAAGAAUGACUCUCUGCUAGGGAACCCCUGACCCAAUACCAAAGAUUACAUACAAAAGAAUAUUUCAACCUCUGAAGCGAAAGGUCCUCAUCCCCAAACGCUAACCUAUUUCUCUCCUUCCAAACUGUCCAAAAAAUACAUAACGGCGCCAUUUGCCAAGCCUUCUUGCGUCUUUUUCCCACAAACCCUCCAUUCCACUCAAGAAGGGUUGCCUUCACUGAACACGAGAGAGUCCAAGAUAUACCAAAAAGAGAGAAAAGAAGGUUCCAUAGGACCCGUGUCUUGAUACAAUGCAGUAGGAGGUGAUCCACUGUUUCUUCUUCAGAUAAACAGAGGAAGCACCUAUUUGCCAAAGAGAACCCCCUCCUUUGAAGUUGCUCCUGAGUUAAAACUUUGCCCCAAGAAGCCUCCCAAGCAAAGAAAGCUACCUUGGGAGGCACUCUUGCCCUCCAAAUUCUAUCACUAGGAAACAAAGAAAGACCCCCCGGUUCCAUCAUAGAAUAAAGGGAUCUAACUGAGAAGACCCCAUCCUUUGAAGCUGUCCAUAUCACUCUAUCUUCCUCCUCCCUUUGAACCCUGAAAGCUUGGAUCUUCUGCAACAACCGUUCCAACAAAAUAAUCUCCCAAUCGUUAAACGCCCUUGCAAAGAGAGGAGUCCAGCCAAUCCCAUCACCAACCGGAUUCCACACAUCCGAAACCCAAGCAUUCUUUGACAUGGAUAUGGAAAAAAGAGAAGGGAAAGACUCACAAAGAGGCCCAUCUCCACACCACUUGUCUUUCCAAAAUUUCACUCUUUGCCCAUUACCCAAAUGAAAGGCUACCCUGCCGUCAAAAAGCCCCCACUUCUUCCUAAUUGCUUUCCAAAGCCCAACUCCAUUUCUUCCCAACACAUCCCGAGUACUCCACCCCCUUCCUCUACGCCAUACUUUAGACUAAUUACACUCCUCCACAAUGCAUCUCUCUCAUUAGCAAACCUGCAAUUCCACUUACACAAUAGGGCGUUAUUCAUCAAAGAUAAAUUUCUCACCCCUAGACCACCUUUUCUUUUCUCCAAACAUAUCAAGUUCCAUCUUACAAGGUGAGGUUUAUAGGCUAAAGUUCCCCCACCCCACAGAAAAUCCCUCUAAAUUUUCUCCAGUCUCAUCCUUACUUUUCUAGGCAAGUGAAAUAGAGACAUCAAAUAAAUAGGCAUGCUGGACAUAGUGCUUCUGAUUAGGGUGAGUCUACCCCCUUUAGAUAUGUACUGCUCUUCCACAUAGCAAGCCUUCUACGAAAACGCUCUUCAACCCCAUUCCACACCGCCAAAGAAUUGAAAGCUGCCCCAAGGGGCAUUCCCAAAUAACUAGAGGGAAAACCUCCCACUUUACACCCCAACUCCAAAGCCAAACCCUCUAUAUUCAGCACCCUUCCAACCGGGAUUAUCUCACUCUUCUCUAAAUUAAUCCUCAACCCCGAACAGGCCUCAAACCACAUGAGGAGCCAACUUAGAUAUGUCAUCUCGUCUGGAGAGUCCUCACAAAAGACUAACGUAUCAUCCGCAAACAACAAAUGCGAUAUAUGCAUCCCCUCACCCCUCCCACCACUCACUUUCCACCCAGCUAAGUAACCCCCACUAAUCGCCCUUCUCAUCAUACUACUAAAAACCUCCAUGGCAAUCACAAACAAAUAAGGGGAAAGGGGAUCUCCUUGUCUUAGCCCCCUCGUGCUUUGGAAAAAACCGGAUGGAGACCCAUUGACUAACAAGGAAAAUUUCACUGUGGAAAUGCACCAAUCAAUCCACUUUAUCCAUCUCUCUCCAAACCCCAUCUCUUUAAGAACGGCCAACAAAAAACUCCAGCUAACAUGGUCAUAAGCCUUCUCUAUAUCCAACUUGCAUAACACCCCUCCCACAUUGUCUUUCAACCUUGAGUCCACAGCCUCGUUUGCAAUCAGCACUGCAUCCAAAAUCUGUCUACCCUCCACAAAGGCAUUUUGAGACUCUGAAAUCACUUUCCCCAUAACCUUUUUAAUUCUGUUGGCCAACACCUUGGCCAGCAACUUGUAGAGGCUACCUACAAGGUUGAUGGGCCUGAAGUCUUUCAAGUCUUCAGCUCCUCCCCUCUUUGGGACUAGUACAAGGAAAGUUGCAUUAAGAGAUUUUACAAAUCUACCCCUCUCAUGAAAUUCCUUGAAGAAUCCCAUUAUUUCAGCCUUUACUAAAUCCCAACUGAACGACCAGAAGGCCAUGGUGAAGCCAUCCGGGCCGGGGGCCUUAUCCUUGCCUAGAUCUGAAAGUGCCACGAACACCUCCCCUUCCGAAAAGGGAAUUUCCAGCCCCUCAGCCUCACAGUUGUUUAAUCUCAAGAAGGGCAACCCCUCAAUACCAGGACGCCAUCCUCCUUCUUCAGAGUACAGAUUAUUAAAAGCACCCACCACACUAUUUUUUAAUUCUAACUCCUCCGUAUGCCAACAAUCAUCCACUUUCAGCCUUGACAACCAGUUUCUUCUACUAUGCGCGUUCGCCAUCCUAUGAAAAAAUUUGGUAUUAUUGUCCCCCUCCUUCAACCACAAUUCCCUUGAUCUCUGUCUCCAAGAAAUUUCUUCCCUCAGCACCCAUGUCUUAUAAGCCUCCUGAGCCUCCUUCCUUGCUUCACAAUCCUCCAGACUCAGAGUUGAAUGAUUCUCCACUGUAUCCCAGUACACCACCUGGCUGAGAGCUUCUCUCUUCUUAGUCUCAAUUACCCCAAAAACUUCUUUGUUCCAAGUCUUUAAUAGCCCUUUUAAGGCUUUUAAUUUUGCAUCCAGGACAAAACUAAGAGACCCAGUAAAAGAUAAACUGCCCCACCAGCUCUUCAACUGAUCCAUGAAUCCCCUUUCCUCCAACCACAUAUUCUCAAAUCUGAAUGGUGACGGGCCCCUCUUCAAACCUCCAUCCUCAAGAAGAAUAGGAGAAUGAUCAGAGACUGGUCUAGCAAGAAUCCCCUGCAUGGCUCCAUUGAACAUUCUGUCCCACUCAUCCGUAACCAAGAACCUGUCAAGCCUAGAUUGAGACUGGUUGUUUAACCCCCCUCGCCAAGUAAAGAGACCCCCCUGUAAGGGGUAGUCCCUUAGCUCCAAAUCCUCUACCACUUCAGUAAAUCUUUUCAUUGAAGCAGAUAACUCACCUCCCCUGCUACGCUCUUCCGGGUAUCUAAUCAUAUUAAAGUCUCCCCCCACACACCAAGGGUCUCUCCAUAACCCUUUUAUUGAUCCAAGCUCCUCCCAAAAAACCUCUCUAUCCCUUCUACACACCGGCCCAUAAACACCAGUGAAGACCCACCUCAUCCCAUCCAUACAAUUCUUGAACAGACAUGACACUGAAAAAAUCCCUUCUUCCACCUCCAACAAAUCAACCACUCUGUUGUCCCAAAACACCAGAACACCUCCAGCUGCCCCCUUAGAGUUAAUUGCUCUCCAGUCAAUAUGUCUUCCCACCCCAAGGCUACGAACAAUCCCCGUACUCAUGUCCUUGAUUUUUGUCUCCUGCAAACACACCACGUCCACCUUGUUGGAUUUUAUUACAGACUUAAUGAUUUUCCUCUUCUCAUUAUCAUUUGCCCCUCUAACAUUCCAAGAUAAGAUCUUUAUCUUCAUUUAAUCCCUGAUCCUGAAUCCCCUCCAAAUUUGCCUUCAUUGGAAGCCAGCUUGGCUCUUUUAUAGCUUACUGUCCAUUCCAGCUUCUUUAAUUCCCUAAUGGAUUUUGUGACAGAAGACUUUGUCUUUUUAUUCUCCCUACCCUGAUUUUUCUUUUCAAUUCUCCCCUUCAUUCUUCUCAACAGGUAUAGAAUCUCCUCCUCAAACCCAACUGUCGGCAUGCCCAAGCAGUGACUGAAUUUCGCAAGGCAGCUGGAGCUCCAUACUUCCUCUUCGUCCCCCACUUCCACCUGAAGGGCCAUCGUCUCCACUAAUGGGCUUUCUAAAACCCCUCCAAAAGGAACAAUGGCUAAAUCAGUCCCAUUUGCCUCAUCACCCGACGCUCGCGGAGACAUGUUUCCAUCUUCGUGAACCGAGAGGUCCCUGUUCCUUUCUUCUUCCACGGCCCCAAACAAACCACUGAUCACUCCCACUUUCCCCACCGCAGCGCCAUCCGACCCUAAGAAAGGAGAAGAAGGAGAAAAAGCCCCACACCCCAAAGAGAAAUUAGGGGAUUUUAGUUUACGGGGGUACCUGGAAGCCUCGUUCAACAGCGCGUCGUCAGCGGGCUUCCGAUGGCCGAGGGAAGGCUCCAUGCCGCCGACGCAACUCGCGACCAACAUCUCCUGCUCCAGCUCCGUAAGGAUCCCGACAGACUCGGGGUGAGCCCUAUAAGGGACGGGCUCCCUUAAAAGGUCCAAAUGGGCCUCAGGAUUAAAAAGCCCAGAAAGCUCCUCAAUCCCCUUAGUCCAACCCGUCAAUUUGGGGCAGAGAGGGGGCGGGCCUUCGGCCCAACCCAUACCUUCCUUAGAAAACAGCCCUCCAUCCCCUUUUAAAAAAGCCCCACUGCCAGUCUUGGGCCCAGGCCCACUCCCUGAGCAGCCCACUGCAGAGUCAACAAACUCCCUGCCCCAUUCUUUGCCAUCCAUCCUGCUUGUUCUGCCACACGCCACCUUCACUUCAGUCUCCCUUUUUUGAAAAUCUGCUUUGGGCUCCCGUACUCUAGAUUCAGCGCGUGAGGCUCCCCCACCUUCAUCCCUAACCUCCCACUCACUUCUUCUCUGCAUCCGCAAGCAUGACCCAUCCUGCAACACCCUCGGAAUGGCUUCCCACCACAAGCAAAGUUCCCACCUAGUGUUACCAGCCUCCACCUCCAUUGUUCCAGGCCUUUUCAUUCCCGAAUUUUUAACCAAAAUCCGAGCCCACUGCAGCUAAGAGAAGAGGGUCGUGUCCUCAUCCACAGCUACAAACCCUCCACAGCAGUCUCCAAUGCUCUUGAAGACCUCCCUACUCCACAGAUGAAGAGGAAGGCCUACAACUCUUACCCACACUUCCUGGCUCUCUUUCCAAGUGCACCCCACUACCGGUCCCCACCUUUGCAAUAGAAACUCUCUGUCCUUAAUACGUCUGCUCCCUCUAAGAAGCACCAUAUCAGCUUCCCAUUUGUUUUGAAACACAAACAACACCAGGGCCCCACCCAACCUGAAUAUUCUUAUCUCCCCUUUCAGUAACCAAACCUCAUACGCCCAUCUCUUCAAAGAAGGCAAUGACGGGAUAGACUCAGAACUACCACCGAAACAACCCACCAGGCAAUGCCCAAGCUGUUCCUCCCUAUACAUUAUUGCCUUUUCCCCUAGGUUCACCCUCAUAGACUCCACUGGCAUACCUUUCUUCCCUUUAACUACUUCUGCAUACGAACCUGACCCUUUCUCUGAGGUAUUGGCAUUGCUCUCCUCCUUACCCAUGGACGGCACACUCUGGAAGCUAAUCCUCCCUUCUGUGGAAGAGACCCCAAGAGCCCUCAAAUUCUUAGCCAGCAAGAACCAUCCCCCUACUAAGCCACUUCCCUCAGGAAAAACUAGACAGAACUUUUUCCUUUUCGCAUCUCUGACCGAGCAGAGCAAAAAUCUCCCAGCCGCAUUAGAACGACAUUCUAGACUGAAUUUUCUUGCUCCUUCAUCCCAAACUUUUAAAAGCUUCGAGGUAGACUCUCCUCUGCACCAAGCUUCCACACCUUCCAACAGAAGGCUUAAGCCUUUUUCUCCAAAUCUUAUCCAGGAGGAGAGACCUUUGCUCCUUUCCCAGAUGGUUCCUCUUAGCCUUCCUCUGAUCUCUUCAAUGGAUAUUUUGAAAGACUUGGAUUCAACGGCAAACCAACUCUUACCUCCCUUCGGAAACCCAUGGGAGUCCCUCACUCCCAUGCUGAUGAAUUUUCUCUCACACUCAUAAAGAAAAGGGCAAAACACAACAAGACGAAAAACCCUAGGCUUCUUCCAUCACUCUCAAGAACCUCAUUGUUGACAUAAAUUUGUUUAUGGUGGUUAAUUACAUCCCAUCAAGGUAUUGAGAAGUUUACGAAGGAGUGUAAUGUGUUGUGCAUGGAUGUGAAGACAUGUGAAAGUGUCAACUGUGUCAGACACAGACCUAGGAAAACAGAACUUCUGUUUCAUGUAAACUUAUGGUUUUAUAUUUGUAGAGUUUUUAGUAGAAUUUAUGGGUGAUAUAUUUGUAGAGCUUUUGGUAAACUCUGUCGGUGAUUUUCUAUGUCUAAUACAUGUCUUUUGUGUGGUUAGAAUUCAUGUUAAUAUCUAAAUAUUUCAUAUUAAUCGAAGAAAAUAUUAUUUGUGAAAAAUUGAACUUUAAGACGUAAAAUAAUUAUUACCUUUUCACCCUUCAUAAAUUUCAGGAAUCAAGAUUCAUACUUUCAAUUGGUAUCAAAGCAUAUUGAAUCUAAAAAAUUAAAAUCUUUAAUCCCUACAUAACAUAGAUUCAUGGAACCACAAUGAGCAGAUCAUCUAUGAAAUUUUUAUCAUAGCUGUUGAAGGCUGCGUUACCAAGACCACUUCAAUUUCCUGAUGUACUCGCCUCUUCAACUGAAGAUGAUGCUUCCUUCUUUUGACCUACAAAAGAUGUUCGGACAGGAGGUCCGGACACACCCUCCGAUACUUUUAUUAGUUUUGCUCUCUAGCAUAUUGAUAUUUUUUAUGGGGCCCUUCUCCUUAGGAAUCCCUUCCCUUCUUUGACUGUGUGGGGGCCUUUUAUAGUGCUAGGAGUUUUGUCUCUUUAAAUGGUGGGAAGACUUUUUGGCUGUCAUGAUGGUGCUUAGAGGGUGACAGAGCCAUCAUUAUCCUGCAGGCGGCUGUCAGAGAUUGCUGGAUGGAUGAGUUGCCGUCAUCCUUGUCUUUUCACUCUGUAGGCGGCGCAGGGUAGGUCGUGGCAGGUCGCCUGAAGUGACCCAGGAAGGUCAUGUUGAGCAUGCUUUUGGUAAAAUGAGUAAUGAUUGCCCGCAAGACACAGUCAAGAAUCUUGUUUGAGACGUUAGCCACUGGGUUCGGAUUGGACAUCCGGACAGGGGGGUAUGCAUCGCAUGUCAGUCCACGUGAUAGUCCGGACAGAGGGUUGGAUGUGCCAUGUGUCAGUCCAUGUGAACAUCUGGACAGGGGGUUGGAGUGCCACGUGUCCAAUGGAGGAGUGCCUUGUGAGGCCACCACGUGUACGCUUAGGGGUGGUCCCUACAAUAGCUUGUCUCAAUAAUCUCAACACCUAAUUUUCAUGUUUCUUUAAUGAAGUCUAGAAUAUAAUUUCUGUCAGUAGGAAUACAGUUUGAGUAGGUUGGGUCGGGUUGAUGGCGAUUUAACACAUUUGGAUAUAGUAGCAACGGGAAACAUCUUCAUUGUUUCAUUACUUCAACAAAGGUUUGGAAAUUCUUGUAAGAAGAUCCACCUUCACUCACACUCUUUCUAGUCAUUUCCUUCAACUUCUCUGCAUUUGCUUUUAUAACAUCAUCAGAAACCAACAUUUCGAUCUUCUUCUUAAUCUCAUGCCUUGAUAUGAAUCCAUUUUCAUCUGGGUUCAACCCCAAGCCCACCUUCCACUUGUCGCAUAUGUAACUCUGGUUAUGGAAUUGAUCUACAACGUAGGGCCAGC
rnacentral:lncRNA from 1 species